CUUAUCAAAGAUCAUGAUACGUCACUCUUUGACCUAUCCCUGAACAAACUUCAUUCAACAACACUAACAUUGUACAGGAACACCCAAGCUCUCUUCAAGUUUUGCUGCAGAGAAAGUAGCUCAAAAUAAGUAAUAAACCCAACUAACCAACUUCCUACAGGAUGCUUAUCCUCUGCUGGUCAAGCAUCGCAUGCCAUUCUGGUGCUGAGCAGCUUGAUCCAAAACCGGUGGUGGGGAUUCUGAAGAUAAGUGUGCAACUCAAUUUCUUGCAAGCAAACACACUUGAAAACAGCAAGACUUUCGAGUGUGUUCCAGUCACAGAACUGAAGAAGAACGAGGCCACACCAUAUCUACCUUCUCUAGUAAUCUGUACAAGCCACCAGUUGCUCAUCCUCCCUCAGCUUCUCCGCAGCAGAAAGCAGCAAAUCCACCGCUUCGAAAUUCCUACUUUCCAGCCUAGCAUCAUCCUUGCGGUGGUGCUUCAGCAUCUUCUUCUCGUACCGUCUCAUCCCCGCCUUUGCUCUCUCCACGCUACAACACGGGCAAUACCACUUCCCCUUGGGUAUCGAAGUAUGGAGAGGUGUUAUGCAGUACAGAUGAUAAGCCUCGUCGCAGCCGUCGCACAGAAUGGUCAGGUCAUCAUCUCUGUCAGAAAAACAAACUCGACAAAGGCAUGAUGGACAGUACCAGCACGGUUUGUCCCACUGCAUAUCGCUAGCAAUCUGUUUAGACUUCAGACAGCAAACGUGGUAGUACUUGUAUGGACAGUGGCUGUGACCACAUAUGAGGAAUCUCUUGGCAUCCUCUUCAGGAGUUCCACAUAUCUUGCAUGAACCACCGGGGCCAAUGUUCGACAGUUGCCGGCCCUCAAUACUGGAAUGCACAAUUGCUCUUGACGUACCAACAGAUGUCUGUUCUUUGCAUUCUGGGGGCCUGCACACCUCAAGUCUUUUGCAUAGGGCACAAUUUCCAUGCAAGCAAUUCGGUUCAUAAAGGGCCAUGCCUCCUUGAGCUGAUUCGUUGCAGGUGGUACUGCUGCAGCUUCUGCAAUACCAGCUUCCCAUCGACGUGGAUGAUACGGGAGGAUCAAUGCAUGACAUGUGACACGCUAACUUGCAUACAUUACAUAUGACGGUGCUGACACCUCCCGUCUCUUUGCCACAUUGGUCACAUGCACUGCCCUUUUGAACAUCAGAAAUAUCUGUUCGGUCUGCAUAGUCCAAUGGUUGGCAUCCCUGUGAGGUCGAGGGUACUGAUAUACCUGAUUCGAUCAGUUUCUUGGAUUCAGAGCUGGCCAACACAACUCCCUGUAAUAUUGGUAGCAUACUGUUGAGCAAAAUGAAUAAAUCCAUCAUGGAAACAUCAAAGCUAGCAACAGAAUAGUCACCUUGACUUGCUCCUCACCAUCACCUGAUCCUCUUUGUCUUCCAACCUAAAGAAUGCGAUACCAGAUUCCAAUGCAAAGGUGCUUAUCAGCAUCAAGUAAAUGUAUCAAAAGAUAUUCCUUCCUAACUGAAACAUAGAGAAGUAUAAAAGCAUUCAAAAUAUUAAAACUAAAAAAACAUAAUUUAAACCUAGCGACCAAAAACUUGCCUGAUUUGUGUAAGAGGCUUCUGUGAGGCUUGAAAGAUUAUUUGCUAGGUCAAUGAUAUCUUGGCCAGCCAUUUUAAGAUUUUCCCAUAACUACACAAAUAUCUCAACUGUUAAUUACCAUUCACCACCCCAAAAAAAAUUAAAUACAUGCCAUACAAAAUAUAUUUAUAGUCGGUUUAGAAAGCAGUGAGUAGCAGAUAGCGCUUAGGGAGACCGAAAGGAACUAACGGCAUAACCUGAAGAGCUGGGAUUUAGAGAAAGAUCUGGGUAUUGAACUCAUAAGAACCCAAAACUGUAGGUAGUAUGUUAGUUAAUCUAGUGUUCAAGUCGGUACGAACAACGAACUGGAUAAAGCGCCAGUGGCCCAGCCAUUACGUUAUUCCCUAUGAGGGAUAUACAACUUAUGCUUUGUAAAUUUGCAUUACUCUCAUGAUCAUCUAAUUGCUAUAAUUUUGAGUGAUGACCAUGGAAAACAAACACUAUACAUUUUGUUAUUCCAUGGCGGUGCACACAGGGAAUACAGUGAACAAUGGUAGACAUGUACUCCUUCCAUAUAUGGAGUACAUAUUAGAUCUGUAACUAUUCUGUUGUAUAUAGUUUUCUGCAUAUAUAUACCAUAAUGCAUACAAGUGCUAUUCAUAACAUGGGAUCAGAACAAACUAUAAUAUCUCUCUAGGACCUCAUAGUAUAUGCUAACGGGAUUUUACAUAUUUGCACAUUGUCAAAGUUAGGUGUGAACCUCAUAAUAUAUGCUAACGGGAUCUGUAAGAAAGCUGAAAAGUUGUAAGGUUAUUACCAGUUUUAAAUCAUCUUUGAAUAUUUCAGGUGUACACCCAUACUCUCCAUUUUUCAUUCUAGAGUCGAUCACACCAAAAUCGAAAUACUUAGUCCUUUCCUCAUCUUGAUGCACAGUUUUGCGAAGCACAUUGCAUAGCAACGCAAAAUCCUCUGAUCUCAAAAUGUCCACAAGAACGUUCUUGCACUCAGCAAUACCCAGAUUACUUGACACUGUUCUGUCAGAAUCCAUUUCCACUUUGUCUCUGACCUGAUAUAAUAGAGAAAAAUAUUGUGGGCAUUUGAUAAGACAAUGCAAUACAACUGGUCCCUAAAUAAGAGUGUAAUAAGUGUAUAACAACAAAAUAGAACUGCAAUUUUCUAGUAAUAAUUAGUCUUAUCACUUACAGAUUCAAAUUCAGCGCAACUGUCGAGGACAUCACGGAUGCAACUCUGGAUGCCAGCACCCUCCUGUACACCUUGCAAAUGCAUCAGUCCAUUCAAAACAUAUCUCCAGUGACUCCAACAGUCACUUCUUCUAGAUAGCAUCUCAGAUUUGUUUGUGUUACUAUAUAAUAUUCCAUGAGGCCCCUCCAUGAGUGGCUGCAUGAUAAACCAUUCAAAUUAGUACUUGAGAGAUUAGGCCAGAGAAAAUAUGGAUACAAGAGGUAACUGUAAUUGUACUCCUUCUACAAUGGCAAUAAGCCUGUCAAUGAAAAGAUAAUGACAAGUUUGCCAGUAAUAAAUCACCAUGUUAAGUAAUCUUGACUACUGAUUCUCCAUUAGUAUCCAAAUUUCUACCCUAAUGCUCUAUAAGAAAAUGGCCCAGCUAAAACUGAUAAUAAGUUCCAGGACAAUGAGUCCCUGCUACACACAUGAAGCUGCUACAAUUUGUUACUCCCUCCGUUCCUAAAUAUAAGUCUUUUUAGACAUUCCACUAGGGGACUACAUACGAAGCAAAAUGAUUGAAUCUACACUCUAAAAUAUGUCUAUAUACAUCCAUAUGUAGUUCAAUUGUGAAAUCUCUAAAAAGACUUAUAUUNNNNNNNNNNNNNNNNNNNNNNNNNNNNNNNNNNNNNNNNNNNNNNNNNNNNNNNNNNNNNNNNNNNNNNNNNNNNNNNNNNNNNNNNNNNNNNNNNNNNNNNNNNNNNNNNNNNNNNNNNNNNNNNNNNNNNNNNNNNNNNNNNNNNNNNNNNNNNNNNNNNNNNNNNNNNNNNNNNNNNNNNNNNNNNNNNNNNNNNNNNNNNNNNNNNNNNNNNNNNNNNNNNNNNNNNCUUAUAUUUAGGAACGGAGGGGGUACUUGUGAAGAGAUUGUACAUUUAUUCUAGCCCUAGACUUCUUGUAGACGGAUCAAAAUGCAUUACCUCCACCCGAAGACAUACAUGUCAGUAAAACACUGAAUGUAGUCCACUAAUCUAUUCUCAUAAUUGAUAUCCCAAUUCCAACACAGUGCAGGAAAAGAAUAGAAGCAAACAAGGACUCACCUGAGAACCGGAUAUAGUAUUUGAUAACGUGUUGCAUGUAUUUGAUGUUCUGUUAGCUUCAUCAAAAGCUUGGGAAGAAUUACUAUUCCGCACUGCGAUAGUGAAAUGCUCUUCAUCAAAUUGUGAACUCGUAGAAGAGCAAAGCAUGUCUCCAUUGUCAAUACCGUCAUGUGGACCUGAUCUUCUCACUUUCUUCUUUUCCCUUGAUAUCAUUUGGUCCCUAACCCUCUUAGCGGCAUCUUCCGGAAUUUUACAGCAUUGAGGACGAUUUUGCCAGCCAACAAGAUGCCACUCUAAUCUAGUUACACCAUGAUAACCCUCUAAGCUGCACCACUUGCACUUCCAAUGUCCUUUUUCUCUGUCAUAAACCAGUGAAUGUUCCCAUGCAUUGUCCCUUAACCUUGUCGGGUAACUGGAACGCACCUAUUCACACGGGGCAUCUCUUAAAUACAAAAUAAAUCAUGACAUGCAUGUUCAUAGUGAAAUCAUGCCUUGCCUAACAACAUAUGAUAUGAGAACUGCAAACAGAACACACCACUCAUAUAGUUCUACGAUGAAUGAGCUGUGCAAAAACUGACAAUUCAACAGUACAAUAAGAUAGCACACCAGCGAAGAAUAUAAAUGAAACUGAGGAAGUUGGACACGGAGCACUUAAAAUAAACUAGGUUUGACUUUGGAGCAGUUUCUAGUAAAGUUAAAUUUGCAAGGAAUCAAGAAACAAGGACGCUUCUUUGGGGAACAGGAGUAUGUUAAAACGGAUGAACAACUGAGCAUACUGCCCAAAAGGAAAAAGGAUCGGAGUUUAAACUGCAACUGAUUACUUGAAUCUUAUAUUUUCCAGCUCUGCGAGAAUAUAUUCAAUCCAUAAGAGGAUGUGCAAGCACCAAAAGCAAAUAUAAAAUUUCCAACAGUAUGCUCACUGAGACAGAAAGGUGUGUUCCCAAUUUGAGUUGUGACAUAAGUACAUGACAACAGCAAUUAGCAUCUUGGGUCUUAAUUCAUAUUGAAGUUUACACUUUUCCCUAAUGUCAUGAUAGAUGUUUAGCAAAUGGUAAGGUUGGUGAAGUCUGUUCAGUACAACUGUGUCUAUUCUGGAGAGAAGACCAGCAACCUGAGGGGGCGUCAUUAACUGUUAAAGGAUGAGAUGUUCAACAGUCAACACUGCAGGUUAUUUCUUAACAAAAGCGCGCCCCGCUCGCCUAGCCACCGCGCCGCGCCGCCCGGACUGCCCCGCCGGCAGCACCCUCCCCGCGCUCCUCCCCGCCCCUCGCGCCAUGGCUCUGGUGCCGGCUGACCCUGUCGACCGCCGGACGUCCCUCUCCGGCGAGCGCGUCUCCUAUGGGGACUGCUGCUCUGGCUCGUCGGCGCGCUCGUACAGCGACGUCGCCCGCACCCCGCCGGCCAUCCCCGCGCCGUCGGCCGCCGCCGCUCCUGGCUGCGUCGCUCCCGCGGCCCGUCCUCCCGCCAAAGACCGCCUUGGCCCCCGCUCGGAGGUCCACCGUGUCUCGGGCGGGCCGGUGCUUGACGCCGAUGGUUUCCAGCAGGCUCGCCGCCGGGAACAUCGCCGUCGCCCGCGCCGGGAGGCCCCUGCUAGGCCCUCGACCUCGCGCCGCCGCAGCCCUUCCCCCGAGGAGCUCGCGGGCCUCUGCUUCAGGUGCCUCGAUCAUCGCCACUGCGUCCGGGAUUGCCCAAACGACAUUCGCUGCCGCCGCUGCCUCGCCUCUGGUCACUCCUCCCGCGACUGUGAUGGCAGGCGGCCCGCGGCCGCGACCCAGGGAUCCCCGCGCAACGCCCCGGUCCAGCAGACCCGGCUUCCUCGCGCUGCCCCUCUCCCAGCAGCACGCCCUGCUCCCGUCCUGCUGGCUCCAGCCCCUUCCCCACCUCCGGUCUUGCCGGCCGCGGACGCGGCCCCCCCGCGUGUUCAUGGCGCAGACCGAGGAGAUGGACGAGGCCGAGCUGGUGCUCGCCCGCGCGAUGGUGGCUUCGGUCACGGGCACCCGCCCCUCCGUGUCCAUUGACGAGGUCGCCGCGCUGCUCCUCGGCUCCCUCGAGCUCGAGGAAGGAGACUUCACGGUUCACCAGCACCAUCCCGAAGAUUUUCUGAUCAUCUUCUCCUCCCUGGCUAUCAUGCGGCGGCUCCGCGGCGAGCACUUCAUCAGCUCCGCCCGCUUCUCGCUGUCACUCCGGCCCUGGUGCAAGCUCGCCCACGCCGGUGCCGGCGAGCUCGAGUACCGCGUCGAGCUGGAGCUCCGCGGCAUCCCCGCUCACGCCUGGUUGCUCUCCACUGCCGAACACCUGCUGGGAGAUUGCUGCUGGAUCGAGCGACUGCAUCCUCGCACUCGUUCCCGCGAUGACAUGGCGGUCUUCCGCGUCUCAGGGCGCGCGCACGACCCGACUGCCAUCCGGUGCGCCGCCGUCCUGGAAAUCGUCGAGCAGUUGCCCGGCCGCGUGCCCUCGGAGGCGUCGGCCGUCAGGACGCUCACGUUCCCGGUGGCCAUCGCCCUCACCAAGGCCGAGAUGAUCAGAGUCGCUCCAGCCGCUGCCCACUCCUCCGGCAAUGGCGGCGAGGCCGACGACGCUACUGGCAGGCAUGGCCCUGGUCCGAGCAAGGGGCAUGGCCCCGGCACUGGACGCGCGCGCCGGCGCGGCUGCAAACGUCGACGUACGGACGGGGCGCAGGCCGGCCGGGCGGAUGACAUGGCAGUGGACGCUCUGGUGCUGCAUGCCCACGGCGGCUCCGGCCGCUCCGGCGGUGUCUGUACGGUCGCGCCCUGGCCGUCCUCGGCCGCACCGCGACAGGGGCGCCGCCCCACGCGCCAGGGGAUGCUAGCCUGGCCCGGUCAGCAGGGGCCUGCACGCCCGCGUCACGGCGCCAGGAAAGGAAGGCGCCAGGGGCCCGCGGUGACGCCCAAAGCCGCUUUGCCGGUGGCCCCAUCGCUAGCUGCCAAUCGCCCCCCCACUGAUGACGGCGCGACGGCUGGCAGCGGGACAGGUGGCAUGCCUCCAUUCGCUGGACGAGACCGGAGGGGGCUGCAGUUUCAAACUCGCCCUUGACCGAGGAUGCUUCGUCCGGGCCCGCCACUACUGCGCCCGAUCCCACACCCCGUCGGGAUCGUGGCCAGCCACGACCGGCUCCUGCAAAGCAACAAGAUGGGACGAUCCCCCUGGUCCCUCCUGCAGCCCUGUCUGGACCGAAGGGGGCGAGGAUCUCCUUUGCCCCCCCCCCCCCCCCCNNNNNNNNNNNNNNNNNNNNNNNNNNNNNNNNNNNNNNNNNNNNNNNNNNNNNNNNNNNNNNNNNNNNNNNNNNNNNNNNNNNNNNNNNNNNNNNNNNNNNNNNNNNNNNNNNNNNNNNNNNNNNNNNNNNNNNNNNNNNNNNNNNNNNNNNNNNNNNNNNNNNNNNNNNNNNNNNNNNNNNNNNNNNNNNNNNNNNNNNNNNNNNNNNNNNNNNNNNNNNNNNNNNNNNNNNNNNNNNUUUGCCCCCCCCCCCCCGCACCGCCGCAGCCUCUCCCUGCAAAGCCGCAGCAGACCCACGCGCGCACCCACGACGAGGGGGCGGGACGCGAUCUGCACGCUCCCGCCAAUUCGGCCACGCCCGCCCCGACCCCACCGGCCCCAGCUGUCACCCCGGGACCCGCGGAGUUUGGUGCUGCUGAUCCUGCCCCUGCUCCCGCGGAAGCUGACCUGGCCGGGCCCGCUGCUGCUGCGAAUGGGCCCAGGACCCGGAAUAUCUUUGCCCCGAGGGCCGCGCCUGUCGAGGCACCCGUGCUAGCUGCCAUGCCUGCCGGGGCAAACGGGCCUGCGACGCCCAUGGAGCCUCCGACCCAGCCGUGCGUGGAACCGGGCUCAUCCCCCUGCCCAGGGCGCCUCUCGAUCCUGCAGAGACCCUUGCUCAGGCAGGACUCCUCACCCUGCGCUGCUAGCACUAGCACCCGUGCUCUGGUCCCAGGUCGCUUUGCCUCGCCGCCGAUCACCCUGCAGCGACGGCGCAACUGCCACGUCUCCAGCCAGCCCUGGACGCUGGGUGCCUUCCUCUCUGCGGCCACCAAACAGCUUGAUGCCGUUCUGCCCUCUCCCGGGAAGCGGCAGCGCCCCGCCCUCAACUUCAGUCCGAGGAGGGGAUGUUCCGCAGCCGCCGACACCAAAGCCACGGCUCCUUGCGCAUCAGAUCGGCGCGCGGUGGUGCAGAUUCUGCGCACUCUCGGCAUUGUGGGGGUGAACCAGCAGAUUACUGCCACCGAGAUGAAGGCCUAUGACGAUAUGUUCGCCAUGCCGCUGGGGCUUCCAGUGCUGCAGGCCAUGGCCGCCCUGGUCGACCGAGCUAUCCCCGCUGACAUGGCUCCGCCAGCGGGUGAUGUCAUGGUCCGUGCGCGCUAGGCUGGCGGCGACUGUUGUCGAUCUCUCUCCCAUGUAUCGAGGUCCUCAGAUAGUGGUCUGGAAUGUUAGGGGAUUAAACUCACGCGCUAGGCGAUGCGUGAUCCGCUCUCUGCUUUGUACUACUCGGGCAUCCAUUGUAUGUCUUCAGGAAACGAAAAUGGAGUUGAUUUGCUCGUCGACUGUGUUGGACACCCUCAGGUCUGAGUUCGAUGGCUCUACCUAUCUCCCGGCCGACGGCAGCCGCGGCGGCAUUCUCGUCGCUUGGAAAACUAGGGUUGUCACCAUUUCCGACCCCCUAUUUACCCAAAACGCGAUCACGGUCAGCGUGCGCGCGCCUGAAGGAGCCCCGUGGUGGCUUACCACGGUGUAUGGCCCCCAAGGCGACCCCGAGAAGCUGCUGUUCCUGCAAGAGUUGCGGGACAUUCGCGCUGCAUGCCAGGGCCCAUGGAUGCUAUGUGGCGAUUUCAACCUCAUCUACCGGAAUGCUGACAAGAGUUCGGGCAACCUGAAUCGCCGCAUGACGGGCAGAUUCCGGCGUGCCAUCAACGACCUUGCCUUGAAGGAAGUCUACCUCAACGGGCGCCGCUUUACUUGGUCCAACGAGCAAUCGCCGCCGACGCUCGCGCACCUUGACCGGGUACUAUGCACCUCGGAGUGGGAGGACUACCAUGGGGAGUGCCACCUCCGUUGCCUUGCAUCCGUCGUGUCCGAUCACUACCCGUUGCUCUUGGACUGCUCUCCUAUGCCCGUGGCCCAUAGACGCUUCCGCUUCGAGGAAUUCUGGCUCCGCCUCGACGGAUUCCACGACACCGUCGCCACAGCCUGGAACUCGGUGCUUGACCCCGACCCCUUCCAGCGGCUGGUCCGACGCCUGCAGGCCACUGCCCGCGCCCUUACGAGCUGGAGUGCCCGCUCCACGGGCAGCAUCCGGGACAAGCUGGCGAUCUCCCGCGAGCUGAUUGCCCGCUUUGACCUCGCGAUGGACACUCGCCCGCUCACCCUACCAGAGGAUUGGUUGCGCAGGCAGCUCAAGCUGUCAUACCUUGGGCUCGCCUCCCUGGAGCGCACUAUCGUGCGGCAGCGCGCCCGUAUCACCUUCCUCGCGGAGGGAGAUGCGAACACGAGCUUCUUCCACCGGCAGUGCACUUACCGCCGCCAGAAGAAUCGCGUGCAUAGCCUCCUAGUUGAUGGGCAGGUACUGUCUGAUCACGAGGAGAUGGCCCAGGCUGCAUUCGAGCACUUUGACGGGCUCUUGGGCACUGCGGUGGACCGGGAGCACACGCUUGACCUGGAGCAGCUCAUCACGCCCGGCCAUCUGCACAGCCUGGACGAGCCAUUCACUUCCGAGGAGAUCUGGGUUGUGGUGAGCCGCAUGCCGCCGCACAAGGCACCGGGGCCGGACGGGUUCACCGCCGAAUUCCUGCGCGCCUGCUGGUGCAUCAUCAGGCAAGACAUCCUGGACGUCUUCGAGCAGCUGUACGCCGCUACGAGGGAGAGGGUUUGGUAAGCUCAACCAAGCCCUGCUCACCCUGCUGCCCAAGCGCGCGGAUGCCCACAAGCUGGGCGACUAUCGGCCCAUUUGCCUGAUUCACAUCGUCGCCAAGAUAUUCGCGAAGGUUCUGUCGUUGCGCAUCGCCCCCAAGCUUGAUAGCCUGGUGAGCCACAACCAGAACGCCUUCAUCGUCGGACGCACGCUCCACGACAACUUCAUGCUCGUCAGGCAGUCUCUGCGGAUGCUCCAGCACCUGGGCGCGCCGUGCAUCAUGCUCAAGCUCGACCUCACGCGGGCUUUCGACUCCAUAUCCUGGUCCUGCGCCAAUAUGGUUUCGGAGACAGGAUCAGGGAAUGGCUGUCCAUCCUGCUCUCUUCGGCCAGCACGCGAGUUAUGCUCAAUGGAGUACCCGGCCCCCCGAUCUGGCACAGGCGCGGGCUGCGCCAGGGUGACUCCACAUCGCCGCUGCUCUUUGUCCUGGCGGUCGAUGCGCUGGCCCGCCUCAUGCAUAGGGCGCUCCAGACCGGCAUCCUCCGGCGCUUGCACCCCCGACGCAGCAUUCCGGCAAUUUCACUAUAUGCCGACGACGUGAUGAUGCUUUGCCACGCUGAGAUGGAGGAGGUUAUUGCUGUGAAGAGCAUCUUGGGCAUCUUUGAGACCGCAUCGGGCCUGCGGGUGAACUACGGCAAGAGCUCUACCACGACCCUGCAUGGGGGUGAGGAUGGCGACGCCCUGCUGGAGGCGCUGGGCUGCCAGCCCGCGGGGCUGCCCAUCACGUACUUGGGCAUCCCGCUCUCCACUCGCCGGCCCUCAGCGGCACAGAUGCAGCCACUGGUAGACGCCGUCGCAGGCCGCCUUCCGUCCUGGAAGGCAUGGCUCAUGNNNNNNNNNNNNNNNNNNNNNNNNNNNNNNNNNNNNNNNNNNNNNNNNNNNNNNNNNNNNNNNNNNNNNNNNNNNNNNNNNNNNNNNNNNNNNNNNNNNNNNNNNNNNNNNNNNNNNNNNNNNNNNNNNNNNNNNNNNNNNNNNNNNNNNNNNNNNNNNNNNNNNNNNNNNNNNNNNNNNNNNNNNNNNNNNNNNNNNNNNNNNNNNNNNNNNNNNNNNNNNNNNNNNNNNNNNNGGCAUGGCUCAUGAACAAGGCAGGACGGCUAGCAUUGGUUAAAUCUGUCCUGGCUGCAAUGGGAGGCUGCAAUGGGAGGGCACUGUCACGUUAACUGGCGCACUGUCUGCCGGCCACUCGCCUACGGCGGGCUGGGCAUUCGAGACCUGGAGCGCGCGGGGCUAGCGCUCAGGCUCCGCUGGCUCUGGCUAUCGAGGACGGAUGCCAACCGUGCAUGGCAAGGCCUUGACCUGCAGUUCUCCCCUGAGGAGCGCGGCCUAUUCCAUGCAUCCACCUUCAUGCUAGUAGGUGAUGGCCUCACCGCUCUGUUCUGGGAGGACCGAUGGCUGCAUGGGCAGUCAAUUCUCGAGCUUGCACCACUCCUAUACCUAUGCAUCCCCAAGAACAGAAGAAGAGCGAGGACGGUGGCGGAAGGCAUCGCCGGCAAUGCCUGGGCCCGUGACAUUAGAGGUGUGGUGGGCCUGCAGGAGAUAGGCCAAUACUUGAGGACUUGGCAGCUCGUCGCUAGCAUCAAUCUGUCCUCGGAGCCGGACAAGCUCAUCUGGAAGUGGACGGCCAACGGCAUCUACUUGGCGAGGUCUUGCUACCGGGCAACCUUCCAUGGAUCAUUGACAUGCCACUCUUGGCAGCUCAUUUGGAAAGGUUGGGCUCCCCCGAAAGUCAAGUUCUUCCACUGGCUUGCGGAUCUGGACCGCGGCAAGGCUCGCGCGCCGAGGGCUCCCUCACCACACUCGCUGCCUCCCAUGCGACCAAGAGCCUGAGACUAUCCAACACCUGCUGAUCUCCUGCUCCUUUGCGCGGCAGGCAUGGCAUGAGACGCUGUCCUGGCUGCACCUCCCGGUUCCUCUGCCGAUGCAUGACGCUUCCAUCCAGGACUGGUGGAGUAGGGCGAGAGACGCCACCCCCCCCCCNNNNNNNNNNNNNNNNNNNNNNNNNNNNNNNNNNNNNNNNNNNNNNNNNNNNNNNNNNNNNNNNNNNNNNNNNNNNNNNNNNNNNNNNNNNNNNNNNNNNNNNNNNNNNNNNNNNNNNNNNNNNNNNNNNNNNNNNNNNNNNNNNNNNNNNNNNNNNNNNNNNNNNNNNNNNNNNNNNNNNNNNNNNNNNNNNNNNNNNNNNNNNNNNNNNNNNNNNNNNNNNNNNNNNNNNNNNNNNNNCCCCCCCCCCAACGCUCCGCAAGACACUGCGAUCUGUCGCGCUGCUGGUCCCCUGGAUGAUAUGGAAGCAUAGGAACGCGUGUGUGUUCGAUCACAUCCCUCCGUCGCUAAACGAGCUCUUAGAUAGGAUACAAGAUGAGGCUAGGUGCUGGGCUCGGGCUGGGGACAAAGGGCUUAGGGUAGCCUUGCCCCCAACCUGGGAUGUCCACUAGACCUACAUGUAACCGUGUUGUAACCACCUCUUCGGAGGCUGUAAACUACCCCCCUUUUCAAUGCAAAGAAACGCAAGGCUUUUGCGUCUUCUCGAAAAAAAAACUCUUAACAAAAUAUCAGAGCAAGAUCUUUUCAGUUUUAAGGUUCAACAAAAAAAAGUGUGGCAUAAAAAGAGAUUAAGAUUACAUGGUUCCUGCUAAGAGAAGCCAAUAAAUAUGCAUUUUCCAAAAAAAACGAGAAAAUGCAAGAGAUUUUUGCGUUUCAUUGCAUUGAAAAGAUAGAGUUUGGUUACAACCCUCCUAGGAGAGAGAGUUAGGGCAGGGACAUGAAUAUAAAUUUAAUGUACAUACUUCUCUAAACAUUUGACAGGGCAAAUCUUCUCUGAUGCCGCUCCCUCCCUCCCGCUCCACCUGCCUGACCAAGCCCCCCACCAGCCUCGCCUCCGUUGAAUCCCCGACGGCAGCCCACUUUCCCAGCCCCGCCAAACCCCCGACGGUGACCCACCUCCUAAGCCCCCAGCCCUCCCUGGCCAUGGCGUCUGCAAACGCUGACCCUGUCGAGCCCCGAGCGACCCUUUCCGGCGACCGCUGGUCGGAUUCGGGAAGUGAGUCCUCGGCGCACUCGUACAGGGACGUCGCGCGCACCCUCCCCGCCCCCCUCACCCCUCUGCGGCACGCGGGCCGCCGACCCCCGCCGGCCACACCUAUCAACCCACCUCAGCCCUCGUUCCAAAGUGCAUCGGGUCGCCGGCGGAGUCCAGGUCGAUGCUGAGGGGUACCAGCAACCUCGCCGCAGAAACCGCUAUCGCCGCCCGCGCCAAGAGGCCACACCCAGCCUGCCACCGCAGCGGCGCCGCAGCCCCUCCCCGGAGGAACUCGAUGGACUCUGCUUCCGCUGCCUCGAUCCUAGUCAUCGGGUGAGGGAUUGCACGAAUGACAUCAGGUGCAGGCAGUGCCUCAUCAACGGCCACGACUCGCCCUCUUGCACCACCGGUCGCGCCGGACCUGCCAGUCCGGAGCACGCUGCGCCUGCUGCCCGGGAGCGCGUCGGACCGGCAAGUGCAAGAGCCGGUCAGAGUGAUCAUGGCGCACUCUGUCGAGAUGGAGGAGGCCGAGCAGGUCCUGAGCCGUGCGAUGGUCGCUUCCAUCACCGGCAACAGGCCGCGCGUGUCCUGCGCCGAGGUCUCCGACGUGCUCCUCAACACCUUCGACCUUGUUGAUGGCGACUUCACCGUGCAUGCCCAUCACCCCCAGGAUUUCCUGAUCUUGUUCAGUACUCAUACCACCAGACAUCGGCUGGACGGAGACCACUUCAUCAACCUGCCACGCUUCUCCCUCUCCAUCCGGCCCUGGAGCAAGCUUGCCCAUGCCGGCUCUGGUGUGUUCGAGUUCAGUGUUGAGCUUGAGCUCCGUGGCAUCCCUGCCCAGGCCUGGCAUCUAUCCAUUGCCGAGCACAUCCUUGGAGAGUCAUGCUGGAUCGAGCGCCUCCACACCAACACGCGUUCCCGGGCCGACAUGGCCACAUUUCGGCUAGCAGGAAGCACACACUGCCCGGACAACAUCCGGAGAGCCGCAGUUCUGGAGAUCGUCGAGCAAACCCCCGCUCGCUUGGGCUCCGACGCGCUGACCAUCAGGACGCUCACCUACCCGAUUUCCAUUGCAGUGGCGCGCGUCGCGACGAGCAGGACACCACAGCUCGGCAGCCAGCCGGACGCGGGGAAUGGAGGAGAUGGCACGCAUGAGGGGAAUGGCCAGAACCGCGCCCCGGGCCAAGAGCGGACGCGCCGCCACGGCUGCAAGCGCCGCCGUACGGACACGAAACCUCAUGGCCGCGCUGACGGCAUGGCCAUGGACGCACCCUUGUGGCGUGCUGGGAACCGAGCCACCCGUUCUGAUGGUGUUGCCGUCGCCAACUCAUGGCCGGCGCCCGCCAGCGUGGUUGCCCCACCGCCCGUACCACAAAAGCGAUGCGGCAUGGCCCCAUGGCCGGGUCAGCACGGGCCCACGGGAGCUCGUCGCAUUGCUAGAAAAGGGGCGGAGGAAAGCAAAAGCGGACCGCAGCAAUGGACCAGACCACCAAAGCUGCACAAGUCGCAGAGACUCCCAGGAACGUGACGAAGGAGACUGCCAGAGACCCAUUUUUGACCAAAGGGGUGUGGGAGGCCACUGCAGGCUCGAGAUCAGGCUCGGGGCCAGCUUGCGACUCGCCACUGGUUGCAAACCGGACCGAGAGAUGCACGGCCGAGGCGGAUGACGCGAGCCCCACGCCUGGCUCGUCCCAUCCGAUGGACUGUCGAGAGCUGGCUGUACUGAGCUUGGUGCCAGACUCGCAGCCAGCCGGUCCACUUAUCCUGUUGGGGAAAAGUGAUGUCUACGCCACGCCAGCAACUGCAACUGGGCCAUGCGAAUCAGACGAGCCACCAGGGCCACUCGAACCCGCUGAAGUGCGGAGGGAGAGGCACCUAGCCCCUGUGGCCAACCCCACUGCCUCUGAGGCCAAUCCCGCUGCAUGCGAGACGGAAUCCACUCUGGCCCCUUCUGUAGAUGAACCCCACACCCCAGUCAGAAUCCUGCAGCGUUCCGAGACCCAGCCCACACCACACCAGCUCGCGACGAAUGGGCAAACACCAACUGCGUGCGACAGGGCCCGUGCCAAUCUACAACCGGGAGGUUCGCCUCACCGCCGAUCAUGCUCCGCCAAAGCCGUGGACAUGCUGCCACUUCACGCAGCUGGACUCUGGGCGAGUUCCUCGCAGCCGCCACGAAGCACAUCAGCGCAGCCCUGCCUACCCCAGGGAGAAAACCACGGCGGCCCCUUAACUUCACACCGCGACACGGCCGUUCGGCCACAACGGCUGCUCCCCAUCCGGGGGCGCCACCCACCGCCGAGAGAAGGGCGCAGGUUCAACUUCUGCGUACUCUGGGGAUUGUUGGGACGAACCAGAGGAUCACUUCCAUCGAGAUGAAGGCAUACGACAACAUAUUUGUUGCGCCGUCCCGCUCAUGGUGAUCAAGGCCAUCGCUGCAUUGGUGGACUGGGAGAUCCCUGCAUGUUUGGCGAUGACAGCGCCGGCCCCUGCAAGUACCGAUGAUGCACUCGUGCCAUAGGCCGACCAUGCGUUAGCCCGUCGAUCAUGUGUUCAUGGAUCACAACCCUACGAUCGUUGUUUGGAACGUGCAUGGCCUAAAUGCACGCGCUCGUCGCACGGCCAUCCGCUUGCUGAUUGUUACAACUUCUGCCUCUAUCAUUUGCUUUCAAGAAACCAAGAUGGAGUUGAUUUGUUCGUCGGUUGUGCUCGAAACCCUCCGCUUGGAGUUUGAUGACUACACAUACCUUCCGGCCCAAGGCACGCGGGGCGGCAUUCUGCUUGCUUGGAAGAGCAAGGUCGUGACUAUCACGGACCCACUGUUCACCACGAACACCCUUUCCUCCAAGGUGACCACGGGUACGGGCACGCCCUCUUGAUUGACAAUUGUCUACGGCCCACAGGAUGAUGAUGACAAACUUGCAUUCAUGCAAGAGCUAAGAGACGUGCGUGCAGACUGCCCUGGGCCGUGGAUGGUGUGCGGCGACUUCAACCUAAUCCUCCGCGACGAAGACAAGAGCAGGGGCAGCCUAAACCGACGCAUGAUGGGUAGAUUCCGUCGCCUUGUCAACGACCUUGCGUUGAAGGAAAUAUACCUAAACGGACAGCGCUACACGUGGUCGAACGAGCAGUCUCCACCCACGCUAGUGUACUUGGACAGAGUGCUCUGCACUUCAGACUGGGAGGACGCGGAUGCCGACUGCCAUCUCCGUUGCAUUGCCUCCAUCGUGUCGGACCACAGCCCAUUGUUGCUAGACUGCUCACCCACAUCCCCGGCACGACGACCAUUCCACUACGAAGACUACUGGCUACGCUUAGCCGGGUUCCGCGAAACGGUGUGGCUUGGGGCUCAAUGAACGUCCCGGAUCCCUUCCGCCGCCUUAUGCUGCGCCUCCAGGAUACAGCGUGCAAACUCACCAGCUGGAGCGCCAAAUCCACCGGCUGCAUCCGGACAAGAUGGCGAUCUCCCGCGAGCUGAUCUCGCGUUUCGAGAUGACCCAAGAAGAACACGCGCUUUCGCCCCAAGAGGACUGGCUACGGAAGCAACUCAAGAUAUCUUACCUUGGGCUGGCCUCACUCGAGCGCACCAUCGCUUGGCAACGCUCCCGCAUCACCACGCUCAAGGAUGGCGACGCCAACACGACCUUUUUUCAUAGGCAAUGCUCCUACCGACGCCGGAAAAACUAGGUGCACGCCCUCUCCGUCGACGGCCAUACCAUCACAGAUCAGGAAGAGAUGGCGCAAGCAGCGUUCGCGCACUUCGACCAACUCUUCGGUCGUCCUGCUGACCGCGAAUGCUCGCUCAACCUGGACAAUCUCAUCAAGCCAUGCGACUUAGCAAGUCUAGAUGCACCAUUCAGCCAUGAGGAGAUAUGGAAUGCCGUCAAACUGCUUGUUAGAAUAAUCCGAGGCUCUCUGUCGAUCUACCGAGGACCAAGCAAUCACACAAGCACGACACCGAGAUUUGUUAACGAGGUUCACCGAUAUGGCUACAUCCCCGGGGCAUGACUACGGGCGCUUCUCCCCGUGACACUUUCACAAUACCGUACCCUGGCAACCCUGGGCGCCGGCACACGCCGCCGGCUCCCCCUGCGCGCCUGUGCUAUUAUGUUGGCAUAUGUUACAUCAUGUGGCUCUACCCUCGCUAUAUAUGAGAGGCUAGGGGUAAAGGACACGACUCCUACCUUGUCUACACACCAUAUGACUUCAAGUCCAAUUGUAACCUACCUUGUACAAUAAUAUUCGACACAACUCUAACACUACUCCCGGCGCGGAAAGUGCCUGGGCCAGACGGGUUCACGGCCGAAUUCCAGAGAGCUUGUUGGAGUAUUAUUCGACAAGACAUCCUGGACAUCUUCCAGCAAGUGUAUGAGCUACGCGGUCGUGGCUUCUGCAAGCUUAACCAGGCGCUACUGAUCCUGCUGCCCAAACGCGCCGACGCGAGCGAACUUCGAGACUACCGGCCGAUCUGCUUGAUACACCUCAUGGCAAAAAUCUUCACAAAGGUGCUAUUGCUCCGGCUCGCUCCCAGACUUGGUGGCCUGGUCAGCCGCAACCAGAAUGCGUUCAUCACCAACCAGAGUCUCCAUGACAACUUCGUCCUGGUUAGGCAAUCGCUCAAGAUGCUACACCACCUAAAGGCUCCGCGGAUCAUGUUGAAACUGGACCUCACGCGGGCCUUCGAUUCCAUAUCAUGGCCUUUCCUCUUUGAGGUUCUCGCCCGAUAUGGUUUUGGAACCAGAUUUCGGGAGUGGUUGGCGAUCUUACUUGCGACGUCCAGCACCCGUGUCAUGCUCAACGGCAAGCCCGGGCCACCCAUCUGGUUUCGCUGUGGCCUGCGCCAGGGAGACCCGACGUCCCCACAGCUCUUCGUGCUCGCCGUGGACACCCUCAGCCGCCUCAUUCGACGCGACCAUGAGUGCAACAUAUUUCGCCCGCUUCACCACAGACGCGACAUCCCGGCGAUCUCCCUCUAUGCCGACGACGUCAUGGUGUUCUGCCACGCCACGCAUGACGACGUGGCUGCCAUCAAGGGGAUCCUCACCUUGUUUGGUAGAGCAGCCGGGCUCAGAGUCAACUACGCCAAGAGCUCAACCACCAUCAUCCAUGGCAACCCCGACACUGCAGCGAUGAUCACUCAACUGGGAUGGCCAGUGGUCGAAUUGCCUAUCACUUACCUGGGCAUCCCGCUGACGCUCCGCCACCCCACUGCUGCCCAGCUCCAACCCCUCGUCGAUUCAGUGGCGGCCAGGCUCCCGACAUAGAAGGCAUGGCUCAUGAACAAAGCUGGGCGACUAGCGCUAGUAAAGUAUGUUCUGAGCUCAAUACCGAUCCACCAGCUGCUCGCUUUUGCCCCUCCAAAGAAGACCAUAAAACAGCUCGAGAAACUACAACGUGGAUUUCUUUGGGCCGGCCACGCCACUGCCUACGGAGAGCACUGUCAUGUCAACUGGCGCCACACCUGUUGGCUUGUUGAAUAUGGUGGCCUUGGGAUCCGCGAUCUGGAGCGCACAGGUCCGGCGCUUCGGCUGCGAUGGAUGUGGUUUGCCCGCACGAACACCGAACGAGCAUGGCAAGGACUAGACCUACAGUUCACGCAGGAGGAGAGUGCGAUGUUUUUUGCAUCCACCAGUAUGGUCCUUCGCGACGGAUCGACGACCCUUUUCUGGGAGGACCUUUGGAUACACGGACAAUCAGUGCAUCCCCAAGCGGCGAUGCAGAACGAGAACGGUGGCAGAGGGCCUCCACGGGAACGCCUGGGCCUACGACAUCCAAGAAACCCUCGGGAUACACGAGAUAGGUCAGUACCUGUUACUCCGGUAGGUUGCCCAACAAUUCGCCCUCUCGACUGAGCCCGACCGGCUGCUUCGGAAAUGGACGGCCAGCGGCAUAUACACGGCGCAGUCUUACUACGUCGCCACAUUCCAGGGAUCCACUCGCUGCCCCUCUUGGAAGCUCAUAUGGAAGGGUUGAGUGCCGCCCCGCGUCCGAUUCUUUCACUGGCUCGCCAACAAAGACCGAUGUUGGACGGCAGCGAGACUUGCCCGUCGCGGCCUGCAGCACCACCCUAAGUGCUUCCUCUGCGACCAAGAGCCAGAGACAAUCCACCACUUGCUUCUAGCGUGCCCAUUGGCCAAGCAAACUUGGCACACCAUUCUGGACUGGACGCACAUACCAGUGCAACCACCAGGUAACGAACCUACCUUGCAUGACUGGUGGCAACAAGAGAAGGAGCAAACCCCGCCCGCACUCCACAAGGCUCUACAAUCCAUCACAAAGCUUGUCCCCUGGAUGAUUUGGAAACAGCGGAACAAUUGUGUCUUCAACAACGCGAGACCCUCGAUAGAUGCAUUAGUUGAUAGGAUCAAAGUAGAAGCCAAAUGUUGGGCACAAGCCGGGGCACAAGGGCUGAGAGUUGUGCUGCCCGCCUCCUGGGACAUCCAUUGGUGACGAACUGGCCUUGUAACCAUCACCUCUUCGGAGGCUUGUAAUCUCCCAUCUUGUCAAUGAAAUGAAACGCAAGCACUCCUUGCGUUUUCUCGAGAAAAAAUUUAAUGUACAUCCCAGGUGGUUGGCAAGAUGAACCUGAGGCCGCGGCCACCAGCGCGUGCCCAUUGUUCGGCUUCGUCCUUGAUCUUAGAGACCAGGACAUGGACGAGGAGCUGGGCACCGUCGAAUAUGCACUCGUUGCGCAUCUUCCAAAUCAUCCACGGCAUGAGGAGGGCGAUGGAGGCAGGACCUUUCCGCAUCGUUGUAGGUGUGCUUUGCUUGGCGCGCAGCCACCAGUCCAUGAGCGUGCCUUCAUCGCUUGGUCCUGCGGUGGUCAUCCUGAGCCAGGCAAGAAUCUCAUGCCAAGUCUGCUUGGCGAAAGGGCAUUCCAGGAGAAGGUGGCGUAUCGUCUCGGGAGCUUGGUCGCAAAGUGGGCAUCGGGCCUGGUGCUGGAGGCCCCGCCUAGCGAGGCGAUCAGCGGUCCAGCACCUAUCCAGGUUAGCUAACCAGUGGGAAAAAAUUGCGCGCGGCGGUGCCCAACGCAUGUCAUAUUUUGAUUGUUUCGUGUAACGAGUCAUGAUUGUAUUAUUAGUAAUUAACAAUAUACUUAAUGGAUUAUAUAAAUAACCACAACUGGCACAAAACUAACAGAGCUAGCAGAAACUAUAAAUCAUAGCCUGAACACUCUUUGACCCAUUCCAGUUUCAACCAAACUGACAUAAGUAGCAUGUCUUAAAUUAAUGAACAGAUUAAUAUAGCCACAGGAAAUAAUAUAAAUGAGAAUACAGUUAUAAAGUUCACCUCGUUCGACAAAUCAUUCAUUGGCAAUUGUGGAGGAUUGCUAAAUGCUGGACCAUUAUUCUGCAGUAUUACACUGGAUUGCGCAAGAAUUUGUGGCUGUGGAGGAGCUUGCUGCCCAGUCUUUUUCAUCCUGGGCCUUCUCUUUAUUAGAAUAUGGUGUUUUGCGUUUGCAGAAACUUCUUUAGGGACAUUCGUGCACUUAGGAUGACGAAAGACACCAGCAAGAUGAUAAUGGAGCCUAGAUAUUUUGCCAUGUCCAUCCAUACCACAGUAUCUACACCUCCAAUGCCUUGCAAUUUCAUCAAUGAUAGCAAUAUGUCUCCGUAAGUUAAACCUGGUCUUCCGAGGAUGUUUCAAUAUCUACAAAUAAGUGUAGAAUCAGAAAAGAAAACAUUAGAAAUUAGCAACACAGAAACAUAUAUUAAAUACCAAUUUAUUUAGUAGAAAUUUGAAAAAAUAAGUAAGUGUUGAAAUACUAGGAAAAAAAGAGUACAAUAUCCCUAAUUUUCCUGUUAGUUUUGUUUAUCAUUCGCCUACCUUUGUUGGAUUUUAAGUUCUGAGAUAACUCUUACAAAACAAAGCAUAUGAUUACACCAUUUUUACAUCUGAGAAGAGUAGGGAAGGACCCCAUAUCAAAGUUUAGUAUAUUAAUCAUAGAUACAGAGAUCUACGUAGAGGACGCCAAAGGCCACAGGUAUCGAAUUACACUAAACACCUAUCAGAAGAAUAGAAAAAGCAAAAAAGUAUGGGAGUGGCUAUUUGUAUACCACCUGAAAACUAAAUUUGCGCAAGUCAAUUUUUUGGGCCAUCGGAUCGAAAUCAGACAUCUCAUCUUCUUUCUUUAACCUCCCGUCUUCUCCUUUCUCUGGCCACCCGAUUUAGCGCCAGCCGGGCGGCCUGCUGCCUCCACCCGCGGCCAGAGGCGCUCCUGUGCACGCCUCGCCCUCCCCCACCGCCGUGCUACCGCUGCCCCAGGCCAUCUGUCUAAACCUCCCCAGCGUUAGAGUUCUCUGGCGAGCCUGCACCUCCCCACCCAAACCAGUCAACCCUCGGACUCAUCACGGCGCUGCCGUACUCAGCCUCGGGGCUGCACAUGUCUUCUCUCCAGAAUCAUCUUACGCGAAUUUACAGUUCAGGUGACUUACAAAUAGGUUGUGCGGACAAAUAUAUGGACAGAUAUCUUAGUAGCUAACAAAAGAUAUGAAGACAAUUGUUGAAACAGAUGACAAGCCAACCACUUGAAACUGCCAGUACUAUCACUCGUUGAGGGAAGCACCCUUUAAUCUAAAAGUUACAAUCUGAAACAGUAGUCCUCGAUCUAAAUUUAUUAGGAGGGACUACCUAAGUUUGAAAUCGAAUAUGCCAAAUCCAGAAGUGACCGAUUCUUCGAUGGAUGAAGUUUCAUAGCUCCAUGGAGCUACGGUAGGAAUGUUACAUCAUAAUUAGUUUGCAUGCAUAGUCUACAAUACACGUAUGAACAGUUAUCCUGGCUACACGUAAACCAAGGGUGUACAAUGUACUGCUGCGUUGUAAAUGGCCAAAAACUCAACUACAUUUGAUUUGAAAAUAAAUGAACUUCAUGCUGGACAUACAACCAUUUUUUAAUGGGUUGUGCAACAAGAUUACUAGACUCGGAAAAAAAAAACAGAGAUACCAAACACCACUGGAUUAGUGUAGUCCCUCCUUCCCAAAAUGUAAGGCAUGCUUGAUUUUGCAUGGCCUUUGGUGCACCACUUAGACAUUAAUAUAUACCAAAGUACAUGGAUUGAACAUGUAUAAAUGGUGUUGUCGUAUUUGUCUUGCGAAAUCAUUUUAUUUCAUGUCUUUAUACUAAUUUUGUUGGCGUACAAUAAGUGAAAAUCAUAGUGAAAGUUGUGCGAUGAAGACCAGAAAAAUUCAAUCGCGCCUUAUUUUGGGAAAGAGGGGCUAUUACUACUUAUUUCUCAGUUUUUGUAACUGUUAGUUUUAGAAUUGAUCUUGAAACACAUCAAAUUUUCAUGUAGCGUAUUGUUUCAUCAUGUGUACAAAAUCAUAUGCGCUCUCUCCUUCAGUAAACAAAUUAUAACCAUAUGCUUGUUGUCUAGCAAUUUUCAAUGUUGCAAAGGUAUGCUAAUUAGUUUCCAGCAGGGGGGCGAAUCGAGGAAGGUCAUGUCCCCUAUCACCAAGGCCACAUACAAUUCAUGAUAAAAUGCCCUCAAAAUUCUGUCAAAAUCCAUAAUACAAUCACAUAAUGUUACAAAAGCCGGGGAGGUUUCAUAUUCCAGUAUGUCACUGAUAUCAAGAACCAAAAUAGAAAAGCAGCGAGUCAUGAAAACUUGAAAGGUACAUUAGAUUUCUACAGUGCUGCUUCUGCUUGUCUUCUUUGGUUUCCAGUAGCAUGAAAGAUUUUGCAUACCAAAUUUUUAGAUUGGCAUUACAUCAUGUGUACAUCAUUAAUUUUGUCAGGUUUACAGAAAAUUCUUUCAUGCCCAAAUUGAAAGGGACAGCGCGAGCUGCCCAGGACACAAAAUUCCUACUCUUCCAACAGUCAAUGUUAAAUUCAGAAUAAGGAAAGUGCUUUCAGUCUUAUAAUAAUUUUUUCUGAAGGCAUAACACAUGAUUCAGAUCUCAGAAAAAAGUUUUUAAUAUUAAUGAAAGACCUUGUAUUAUGACACUACUUUCAACUUCUGCAAGAAAUUCAGAAAAGCCUAUGGAAGUGUUACUCACUAUAAGACAUCUAAGUAGUUUCACCAAAGUUUAACAGUAAUGAGGUCAAAACUAACCAAUAACUCAAUAGCAGUAUAGCACAAACACAACUAACCCCUUACUACAGGACAGAUUGGAUGGUACAUAAUUUGUUUGCAUGGGCUUUUGAAGGAGAACUACCUCUUUAUUUCGUGAAAUAUCAGUGUUUUUGUCCAGAGUCUGAUGCUCAUUGUUUAGUACAUGCUGCUUUCCAGGAUCCACUGGCAACUGCUCCUCUCGCUGAUCAUUGCUUUUCUUUGGCUGUUCAUAAUUCUCAACUGGUUGGUCACUAUGUCUUUUACUGCAUUGGUUACUUCGAGCUGCCAACUUCUCAAAGGAAACAACCAAAAACGGUGGGUAAGUUCAAAUGAAAUACUUCUUGAAAGAAUAAAGAUGGGUCACAAAGAGGAAGAAAAGAUGAUGCAUCUGUGUAAACUUCGUGUGAACUUCAUGUUAAGGUUUAAGAAAACCCCAUGAACAACAAGUAUAUCAUCUACCAAACAGUAGUUCUCGCUGUUCUUUUUUCGAGAAAACGCAAGGAGCGUUUGUGUUUCAUUUCAUUGAAAAGGUGGGAGAUUACAGGCCUCCUAAGAGGUGUUGUUACAAUGCAAAUUCGUCAUCAAUGGACGUCCCAGGAGGCGGGCAGUACAACCCUCAGCCCUUGUGCCCCAGCUUGUGCCCAACAUUUGGCUUCUACUUUGAUCCUGUCAACUAGUGCAUCUAUCGAGGGUCUCGCAUUGUUGAAGACACAAUCAUUCCGCUGUUUCCAAAUCAUCCAAGGGACCAGCAUCGUGAUGGAUUGUAGAGCCUUGUGGAGUGCGGGCGGGGUUUGCGCCUUCGCCAGUUGCCACCAGUCCUGCAUGGUAGGUUCGUUACCUGGUGGUUGCGCUGGUAUGUGCGUCCAUUCCAGGAUGGCAUGCCAAGUUUGCUUAGAGCAUGUCUAGUAGAGCCCUUAAACCCUCAAAAAAACAGAAAUAACCGUUUUUUUACGGGUUGUGUCGGGGAUAUACCCUGCAGUGUAACCCGGCUUGAAGUAUGACCCGCCAAGGACUUGGCGACUCACCGGCGACUGAGCAGUGACCUAGCGGGCGGCUCAUAGAUUACCCCGUAGGCGACUCAGACAAAUGACGAAGGCCCAAGGCCCGACGUACAAUCUGGCAUAAGGCGACUCAUAGAGAGGCCAUGAGGGCCGACUCACACAGAAGGCCCGAGAAGAGGAAAGACUCCCACAAGAAGGAAACAAGACCCAGAUUAGGAUUCAAGAGAGACUAGUCCUAUUCCUACUCCUAGUAGGACUCUACGUGUAAACCUACCCCUUACACCUAUAUAAGGAGGGGUAAGGCACCCCAAGAAGGACAAGAUACACAACUUAGGUCUAGACAAGACAAAUCAUGAGAUAGACAGAUUAGACACCCACGAGAUUAGAGGUGCGAGUCUGCACCCUUGUAAUUGAGAUCAUCAUCUUCACCAAUGAAGCACAAGCAGCACGUAGGCUUUUACCUCCAUCGGAGGGGCCGAACCUGGGUAAACUCGCGUCUCUCGAUUCCGACCAACCCCUCUCAAGCCGCCACAUGGUUGCGAUGUCCUCACACCUAAGUCCUUGCACGAGGACAUCUGCCGUGACAAAACCACGACAGGUUGGGCAAAAAAAACGCGUAGACUAGAACCCCUUAACCCUUAAACCCUCAAAAAAAAUUAUGGAUCGGACCUGCAAACCCUCUCCCAACCUGUAGAAGUGAGGAUUGGGGGGCAAAAUCUACCCCAACCCUCACUUCGAUCCGGCCAUGCGCGGGAGGGAAAUUUCCCGUCCCCAACCUCCUCCCGCGCCUCCCCCGAGCCGCCGCCGCCGUCCCGCCCCCGCGCCGACCCGAGCCGCCUCCGGCCGCAUCUCGGGCCGCCGCCGCCGUCCCGCCCCCGAGCUCCUCCACUGUCGCCGGCCGCAUCUCGGGCCACCACCGCCGUCCCGCCCCGAGCUCCUCCACCGCCGCCCCCGAGCUCCUCCACCGCUGCCCCGAGCUCCUCCACCACCGCCCCCGAGCUCCUCCACCGCCCCGAGCUCGUCCACACUGCCGGCCUCCUCCACUGCGGGCCGUCCAAGGUGAGCUCCCCUGCUCCUCCUCCCUCUGUCUCCACACCGCCGGCCUCCUCCACAACGAGCUCCGGCCGGCCCUGUUUCCUGUAUUUUUGUUACAGAGCAACACUAAAUUUUUUGUUUUGUGUUGUGUAGAUGGAUGCGUUGUCCGAUGAUUCCGGUUGGUCGUCGUGAAAAAAGGGGAUGGCCGGGGAUGUUUGGUAGUCUUGAUUGCAUGCAUUGGACAUGGAAAAAUUGUCCAAAGGCAUGGCAAGGAAUGUAUUGCGGUAAAAGUCGUGAUGCUACCAUUGUGCUUGAGGCCGUGGCAUCGGAGGACACAUGGAUUUGGCAUGCAUUUUUUGGUUUGCCAGGAACACUCAAUGAUAUCAAUGUGCUCAAUAGAUCUCCUUUGUUCAAAAGAUUAGUUUCUGGGGAUGCUCCAACUUGCAACUACAAAAUAAUGGACAAUGAGUACUCAAUGGGAUACUAUCUCACCAUGGAAUUUACCCCGAUUGGGCAACUCUUGUGAAGUCCAUCAAGGAGAAAAAUGGGGUGCCCUUAACCAGAAAAGAGGCUCAUUUCACAAAGGCACAAGAGGCAGCCCGCAAGGAUAUUGAGAGAGCUUUCGGUGUUUUGCAAGCAAGAUUUGCCAUAGUUCGGGGUCCAGCUCGUUUUUGGGACAAAAAAACCUUGGAGAACAUCAUGAAAUGUUGUGUGAUUAUACACAAAAUGAUCAUCGAGGAUGAGAGAGGGUUAAAACUGCCUUGUUUCUAUGACAAUGUUGGUACUCGUGUGGAACCGGAAAGAAACCCUUGUCGCGUACAACCUUUCCUUGAAGCACAUCGUCAGAUUCAGGAUGCAAACACUCAUGGUCAGCUCCGGGAUGAUCUAGUAGAGCACCAGUGGCAGUUGGUUGGGCGACGCCAAGGCCCAUGAUCUACCUUUGGUUACUUUUCUAUGUCCUAUUUGAUUCGAACAAUCAUUAUAAUUUGCUUCAAAACAUUGUUCUAAUAAAUUGAAUGAUUAUUAUGUGUUUGAAAGUACUAUUCGGUGUUAUUGAGAUGAUGAAAAUUGUGAUAUGUCAAAUGACAGUUUUAAGGGUUGGGGUUGGGGCAAAGACUAGAACCCUCAAACCCAACCCUUAUAACGGAAUAUUCCGUUAUAAGUGUCAAAAAUUGCCAAUUCUCAACCCUUAAAACUGGUUUUAGAUUUAAGGGUUUGAGGGCUCUACUAGACAUGCUCUUAGCAAAUGGGCACGCUAGAAGCAAGUGAUGGAUAGUCUCUGGGUUUUGGUCACAGAGGAAGCAUUUCGAGUGGUGCUGCAGGCCACGCCGGGCAAGUCUCGCUACCGUCCAGCAUCGGUCUUUGUUGGCGAGCCGGUGAAAGAAUCUGACGCGGGGCGGCACCCAGCCCUUCCAGAUGAGCUUCCAUGAGGGGCAGCGGGUGGAUCCAUGGAAUGUGGCGGCGUAGCAGGACUGCGCCGUGUAUAUGCCAUUGGCCAUCCAUUUCCAAAGCAGCCAAUCAGGCUCAUUCGAGAGGGCGAAUUGUUGGGCAGCCUGCCAGAGCAUCAGGUACUGACCUAUCUCGUGUAUCCCGAGGGUUCCUUGUAUGUCACGGGCCAAGGUGUUCCCGUGGAGUCCCACUGCCACAGUUCUCGUUCUGCGUUGCCGCUUGCGGAUGCACUGGUAUAGCAGGGGGGCGAGUUCCCGAACUUAUCGUCCGUGUAUCCAGCGGUCUUCCCAGAAAAGGGUUGUCAAUCCAUCCCCAAGGACCAUAGUGGUGGAUGCGAAAAACAUCGCACUCUCCUCUCUAGUGAACUGUAGGUCUAGUCCUUGCCAUGCCCUUUCGGCGUCUGUGCGGGCAAACCACAGCCAUCGGAACCAAAGAGCCAGACCGGUGCGCUCCAGAUCGCGGAUCCCAAGUCCGCCAUAUUCUGUGGGUCGACAGGUGUGGCGCCAGUUGACAUGGCAGUGCCCUCCGUUGGCAUGGCCGGCCCAAAGAAAUCCACGUUCUAGUUUCUCGAGAUAUUUUAUGGUCUUCUUUGGAGGGGCAAAUGCGAGCAGCUGAUGGAUCGGUAUCAAGCUCGGGACAGACUUCACCAGCGCUAGUCACACAGCUUUGUUCAUGAGCCAUGCCUUCCAUGCCGGGAUCCUGGCCGCCACCGAAUGGACGAGGGGUUGCAGCUGGGCCCCAGUGGGGCGACGGAGCAUCAGCGGGAUGCCCAUGUAAGUGAUUGGUAAUUCGACCACCGGCCAUCCACGUUGAGUGAUCAUCUCCGCAGUCUUGGGGUUGCCAUGGAUGAUGGUAGCUGAGCUCUUGGCGUAGUUCACUCUGAGCCCGGUUGCUCUGCCAAAUACGGUGAGGAUCCCCUUGAUGGCAGCCACGUCGUCCUGCGUGGCGUGGCAGAACACCAUGACGUCGUCGGGAUAGAGGGAGAUCGCCGGGAUACCGCGUCCGGGCUGAAGCGGGCGGAGUAUGCUGCAUUCAUGGGCGUGUCGAAUGAGGCAGCUGAGGGUGUCCACAGCGAGCACGAAGAAUUGUGGGGACGUCGGGUCUCCCUGUCGCGGGCCACAUUCUCGUAGUGAGGUGUUGUCCAUUUAUAAGCGUUUUGCUGCCAUGGUUCAUACUCAGUUCUCUUCUCCCAUUCGUGUGUUUCGUGCUGACACCGCUGGCGAGUAUAUCUCUAAGAUGUUGCGUGGUGUUCUUGCUGAGCAAGGGACUCUCUCUCAAUUCUCUUGUCCUGGUGCUCAUGCUCAGAAUGGCGUGGCUGAGCGCAAGCAUCGUCAUCUUCUUGAGACGGCUCAUGCAUUGAUGAUUGCUGCCUCUCUCCUGCCUCAUUUUUGGGCUGAGGCCGUCUCCACCUCCACCUAUCUCAUCAAUUUCAGCCUUCCGCUGCUCUACAGGGUGGUGUUCCUUUCGAGCGUCUUUUUGAUCGUUCUCCUGAUUAUUCGAUGCUUCGCUUGUUUGGUUGUGUUUGCUAUGUUCUUCUUGCCCCCCGCGAACGCACCAAACUGACCGCUCAGUCUGUUGAGUGUGUCUUCUUAGGCUAUAGUAAUGAGCAUAAGGGCUAUCGUUGUUGGGAUCCUAUCGGUCGUCGGAUGCGUAUCUCUCGGGAUGUGACUUUCGAUGAGUCUCGUCCCUUCUACCCACGCCCAUCUUCCUCGACCUUUUCAGUGGACGAUGUCUCUUUUCUCACUUUUCCUGAUACACCUAUCACACCUGUCGAGCCUUUGCCUAUUCGUUCCGCUCCCUCUGCUUCUCCACCUCCAGUCGAUUUGUCGCCACCAUCUUCCACGGUCUCCUCGUCUAGCAUGUCACCGGAGUCUACACCUUCCUCUCCGGUGACUUCUUCGUCGUCACUCCCCGAUUCUACCUUGGCGAUUCCUCCUUCCAUUGUUCCAUCUUUUCCUCAGUGUUACACUCGUCGUUCACGUUAUGUGGAUGCCUCUGUGGAUGUGUCGUCAUCCUCAUCUCAGCCUACUUAUGGUUUGCGUUCUCGUCCUCGUCCGCCUAUUGAUCGCUUUGGAUUUUCCACCGCUGGUGCUGCUGUUCUUGAGCCGACUACUUAUCAUCAGGCUGUUGUUCAUCCUGAAUGGCAGUUUGCGAUGGCAGAGGAGAUUGCUGCUCUUGAACGCACUGGUACGUGGGAUCUUGUUUCCCUUCCUCCCGGAGUUCGUCCCAUCACUUGUAAGUGGGUCUACAAGGUUAAGACUCGCUCUGAUGGUUCUCUUGAGCGUCACAAAGCUCGUCUUGUGGCUCGUGGUUUUCAGCAGGAGCAUGGUCGUGAUUAUGACGAGACUUUUGCUCCUGUGGCUCAUAUGACCACUGUUCGUACACUUCUUGCCGUGGCCUCUACACGCCACUGGUCUAUCUCUCAGCUUGAUGUUAAGAAUGCUUUUCUUAAUGGUGAGCUGCGUGAGGAGGUGUACAUGCAGCCACCACCUGGGUAUUCUGUUCCUGAUGGCAUGGUAUGUCGUCUUCGUCGCUCUCUCUAUGGCCUUAAGCAAGCCCCCCGUGCCUGAUUUGAGCGUUUUGCCUCUGUGGUGACUGCCGCUGGUUUUUCACCCAGUGUUCAUGAUCCAGCAUUAUUUAUUCACCUUUCUCCUCGUGGUCGGACUCUUCUUCUCUAUGUUGAUGAUAUGGUCAUCACUGGGGAUGACCCCAAGUAUAUUGCCUUUGUCAAGGCCCGUCUUAGUGAGCAGUUCCUUAUGUCUGAUCUUGGACCUCUUCGCUACUUUCUUGGGAUUGAAGUUUCUUCUACCUCUGAUGGCUUCUUUAUAUCCCAGGAAAAGUAUAUCCAGGAUCUUCUUGCUCGUGCUGCUCUUACUGAUGAGCGCAUUGUUGAGACUCCUAUGGAGCUCAAUGUUCACCUAUGCGCUACUGAUGGUGAUCCCCUGCCUGACCCGACGCGUUAUCGUCAUCUUGUUGGCAGUCUUGUUUACCUGGCUGUCACUCGUCCGGAUAUCUCUUAUCCGGUUCAUAUUCUGAGUCAGUUCGUCUCUGCUCCCACAUCGGUUCACUAUAGUCAUCUCCUCCGUGUUCUCCGAUAUCUUCGGGGCACGAUCUCUCACCGUCUAUUCUUUCCUCGCUCCAGUUCUUUACAGCUUCAGGCCUAUUCGGAUGCUACGUGGGCUAGUGAUCCUUCAGAUCGCCGUUCACUUUCUGCUUACUGUGUUUUUCUUGGUGGUUCUCUCAUUGCCUGGAAGACGAAGAAACAGAUUGCAGUUUCCCGUUCGAGUGCAGAGGCUGAGUUGCGAGCGAUGGCUCUUUUGACGGCAGAGGUGACUUGGUUACGGUGGUUACUUCAGGAUUUUGGUGUUUCUGUCACUACACCGACUCUACUCUUAUCUGACAGUACCGGUGCUAUUAGCAUUGCGCGCGACCCUGUGAAGCAUGAGCUCACCAAGCAUAUUGGCGUUGAUGCUUUCUAUGUGCGCGCUGCUGUGCAGGAUCAGGUUAUUGCUCUUCAGUAUGUGCCUUCCGAGUUACAGUUGGCGGAUUUCCUGACGAAGGCCCAGACUAGAGCACAACAUGGCUUUUAUCUCUCCAAACUCAGUGUUGUUCAUCCACCAUGAGUUUGAGGGGGGGUGUCAGAGUUAUAAUAUAAGUCAUGUACCCUUUUGUAUUUAUCCCAAUAUAUAAGGGGUUUCCUGCAUAUAGGCCACGACCUGUACAUGUAUAUAUACUGGCCUAUGGCCUCAUGGGAAUACAAGUUGCUUAUUCCUAACAGAUCUACGUCCAUCGUGCCUUAUCUGCCGAGCUUCUUUCGCCGACGGUUGUCGUGGACUAUGAUUUUCCGCGCAAUGCUUUAUUCUCUUGAUGUGCCAUCUUCUUUUGACAACCCAUCUUCACUUGAUACUUAUCUUGUAUCUUCAAGUGAUGCGGUGUCUACCUCUGAUGUGCCAUCUCUUCGUUCUCUCCUUCGACGACUCGACAAGUUUUGAAGACUCUUCAUGCUACGACGACACUCUCAAGACGUGGAUUUGGAUUAUCAUUUUUGUUUUAGUAUUACACUUCUUCAAAUGCAAUGCUAUUGCAUACGCUUUGCAUUUGAGGGGGGAUGUUAGGAAGUAUUAGUAUUAGUCUAGGAGUCCUUAUUAGUCUAUUAGUAUUAGUCUAGGAGUCCUUAUUAGUCUAUGUUUACUUUCCUUGCACCUCAAGUCAUGUGUAAUAUAUAUAUGCCCAUUGGGCCUUCAAUAAUGAUAAGUUGCUUUCCUAACACUAAGAUAGGUUAGGAAGACAAAAAAAAGAUGAUGUAUCCGGUGUAAGCUUCUUCUCCAGGUUUAAGAAAUACCCAGGAAAAACAAAUCUCAUGUAAUAGCAGUUUUCGCUGCUUUGGCACUAUUUCCUUUGCAGAUCAUCAAUUUCACACCUUUCAGAUUCAAAGUUCACACAAGUUUUUUUUUUCGAGAAAAUGCCGUGAGAUACAUGCGUUUGUUUGUAUUGAAAAGGUAGAGUUUAUGUUACAAUCCUCCUAGGAGGGGCAUUACUGGUAAUGAAAAACAUAUAGCUAGUGUACAUCCCAGGUCUGGGGGAUGAUGACGCGGAGACCAGCCGCUCCUGCCUUGGUCCAGAGGGACGCCUCGUCUUUGAUCCUUGUAACCAGGUCGUUCACCGAGGAUUGGGUGCCCUCGAACACGCAGCUGUUGCGGUGCUUCCAAAUCAUCCACGGGGUCAGCAGGGUCACGGAAGCGAAGCCUUUGCGGAUGGGCUGCGGUAUACUCCGCUUGGCGCGAUGCCACCAGGCAAGAAGGGAAGGCUCGUGGCUGGGGGCGGUGCACGGCAAGCGAAGCCAGGCGAUGACGUCUUGCCACACCUGCCUGGAGAAGGGGCAGCGGAGGAGCAAGUGGUCCAUCGUCUCGGGGUCCUGCAGCACAAGAGGCAAGGGUCGUGGUGCUACAGCCCACGACGAGCUAGGCGAUCGGAGGUCCAGCAUCUAUCCUGGUCAGCAAGCCAAUGGAAGAAGCGCACCCGGGGUGGUGCCCAGCUCUUCCAUAUGAGCUUCCAGGAGGCGCUGGGGAUGGAUCCCUGGAAGGUAGCCUUGAAGCAGGACUUGGCAGAGUACGAUCCGUUCCUGGUCCACUUCCAGGUGAGCUGGUCGGGCGUAUUGAACAGGAUGGUGUGCUCAAUGGCGUUCCAGAGGCGGAUGUACUGGCCAAUCUCGUGGAUGCCGAGAGUGCCCUCAAUGUCGCGAGCCCAAGCUAUAAAAUCUUACCACUUAAUGUUCUUUAAAGAAUAAAUCAAUUUCUGUGCCGUCUCUUUUUGUUUCCUCUUCUUUUCUUUUCAUGAAACUGCACGAAGUACCAAUGGCAUGAUACGCGAGUUUGUAUUAUCUCCAUCCUAUUUUACAUCAAGGCAGUCCCCAUUCUCCAAUACACAACUUUGUCCGAUAGUGUUUUCUAUUAUACUCCCUCCGUAAAGUAAUAUAAGAGCAUUUAGAUUACUAAAGUAGUGAUCUAAACGCUGUUAUAUUUCUUUACAGAGGGAGUAUGUUAGUAAAAAUAUAAACAUAUAUGAUGGAAAUAACAUUGAUAACAAAUCUAAUGAUGCCAUUCCUGAGUGAGAAUCUUAUCAGUGACCAAAAUUUCAAUAACAAUGGCUUCAGACAGUAGAAAUGAUAUUUGAAAACGAUGAAGUAGGGAGUAACAAAAAGUAAAUGGAUCAGCAAUAAUGUUUAACUUCCAAAUAGCAUCAUUUGAAGGUUGUUGAUCAACCUGACAUGGUAAAUGAUACUAGAUUAACUUUGUAUACCUCAUCAAUAGCGCACUUCUCCGAUGUUUGCAUAUGCACACCACUAUUUGAAGGUUGCUGAUCAUUCUUACAUGGUACAGUCCCUUCCUCUUCUGAUCCUAAGCAGAAAGAAAACACUUAACACGAUCAAUUUUUUCGCUGUUCAAAAGAUGGAGCACUGCUCUUUUCUCUUCAACAAAGUUCAAUACUUUGUUUGACAUUGCAAUUGGAAUUUUCAGGCAGCUCUUACCAGUAAGAUGAGCCUUCAAUGCAGUUACGCCACCUUGUAUUGAAUUAUCACACUCUAAGUUCAACUUCUGCAUGAAAUUUAGAAGUCUAUUAACGUCUUACUCAUUACAAGAAAUUUAUAAGUAGUAUCACCAAAAGUCUGUUAGGAUUUUAGCGAUUGAAUAAUUGCAGAAAGUAUGGCGAGGCGAUGUUUGAUGACGGAGCUCGGUGAUGCCUACACUCUGGCAGCCCUUACUCGGGUUCUCCUCCAUUGUGUAGUAAAUUGACAUAGGCUACCUGGUGCCUUUAUAUAUUAGGCACAGGUUAUAAGUGUUCUACUCCAACACAAAACCCUCCACUAAUACCAAGUCCAAAUGUAGCCCUAUACAUUAUUCGACACAAAUUCCGACAAACUUCAAAACCCCUAUUAUUGCAUCGGUUUUUUUAAGGAUAACUACCUCUCUGUUUUGUGGAUUCCCGUUGUUCUUGUCAACAAUGUGGUGCUUGCCAUUCUCGAUUGGCAACUGCUCCUUCACCCAAUCACUGCCUUUCUUUGACUGUUCAUAAUCCUCAACUGGUUGGCCACUAUGUUCUGUACCACACUGGUUGCUCCGAGCUGACAACUUCUCAAAGAAAACAAACUAAAAUAGGUCGGUAAGUUUAAAUGCUAUAAUAGUUACUCAAAAGAACUAAGGUGGGUUAUGAAAAACAAAAAAGAUGGUGUAUCUGGUGUAAACCCACUUUUCUGUUACAAAUCGAACCCGUUUGAACAUUGUAUGUAUGUUUUUCUAAAGUAGUUUUUAUUGUUUUGGCACUCUUUUUUCUGCUUGUCAAUUUUACAACUUUCAGAUGUAAAGUUCACACGAGUCGAAGGUUAACACUGAAAGACAUAGUGAGCGGUUAGAUAGUCCACAUGCCAAAUUUUAAAUUGCAACAUGCUAACUUAUAGGUGCCUGUCGGGGUAGAAUCCGGCAGACCCCUCGAUGGCUGUUGUGACUAGCCGGAAAGAGCAGAGGGAAACAGGAGACCGGAUUAUCUAGGUUUAGACCCUCAGGGUGGAGGUAAAGCCCCUACUCCUGCUCGUGUUAGAUUAAUGUAUAUGGGUGUAUGUUAGCCCAAACUACUGCCGAGUAGCUACCUCUCUCUUGUACAAUCUAGCAGAGGACUAAAUAGUAGACAGCUGCACACUUGCUGCGGCAACGCUCAAGAACGGAGGAACUCACACAGUAGCGGCUGCACACUACUACUACUUGCACUCAAGUAUACUAUCGAAGCACUCACACUCACUAGUGAACAGCAUACAGAGGCUCUUGUAGUAGUAGUACUAGUAUUGCUCUUUGGCUGAUGGAGUGAAAUGAAUUACAACGAUGGAGUUCCCCGCAAAAAGAAAAUGGAGUAGUGCUCCUUAUAUAGUGAACUGAACCAACCUAUUAGCCUAGUUGACAUAAGCAGUUACAUCAUGUCCUACCAAUACGUCACUGCUGACCUACAACAGUAAAAACGAAAAUGGUCUUGCCGACCUACUGCUGCUGCCUUCACUUUGUAGCUAAGUAAUGCUACCGCUGAUGCAUGCAUGCUUCGUAGACAUGGGUGGAGCCCACAGUGAAUCAAGGGGUGAUGGUAGGUAUAAGAUUGGAUGCCCUAUUGACUAGCCCUGCCCCGACUUAUAAAGGAUGCCUGGGCAUGGGGUUACAAGAAUCCUAGCCGAUCUAAGGAGGUGGAGGAAUCCUCCUGGGACCCGGCUUCCUUGUCUUUUUUUGGGAAAACGCAAACAUUUCAUUGAAAAGGAGGAGUUCGAGUACAAUCAUCCUAGGACAUGAAUUACAUUACGAUCAGUGCACAUCCCAGGUUUGUGGAAUCACCAGGCGGAGGGCAGGUGCCCCGGCGGCCGCCCAAGAACGGGCCUCGUCCUUGAUCCUAUCUAGAAGCGUAUACAUGGAUGGUGUUGCAUCGUCAAAGACGCAGCUGUUUUUGUGCUUCCAAACGAUCCCGGGCACGAGCAGCGCGGCUGAUUUCAGGGCCUUGUGGAGGAUCCGUGGCGUGUUCUCCUUGGCGUGCAUCCACCAGUCCAUGAGUGAUGGCUCACGGCUCGGUAUAGGUGUUGGGAUGCGGAGCCAGGCCAGGGUCUCAUGCCAUGCCUCGCGGGCGAAUGGGCAUUCCAGCAGCAGGUGUCGUAAGGUUUCGGGCUCUUGAUCGCAUAGGAGGCAGCGAGGAUGGUGCUGCAGUCCAUGGCGGGCCAACCUCUCGGCAGUCCAGCAGCGAUCCUGGCUGGCCAACCAAUGGAAGAAUUUGACCCGCGGUGGCACCCAACUUUUCCAUAUGAGCUUCCAUGAGUAGCAAGUCGUAGAUCCAUGGAAUGUGGCUAAGUAGCAUGACUUCGCCGAGUAGAUGCCGCUCGCUGUCCAUUUCCAUAUCAACUGGUCUGGGCCAGCCAAGAACUCGAUGUGUUGCAUGAUCUGCCAGAGCUGCAGGUACUGACUGAUCUCGUGCAGGCCUAAAGUGUCAUGGAUGUCGCGUGCCCAGGAGUUAUCGUUGUGUCCGUCCGCUACAGAUCUGGCCGCGCGUCGGCGCUUGGGUAUGCAGUCAUACAGGUGAGGCAUGAGCUCGCGGACGGAGCGGCCAUUGAUCCACGGGUCCUCCCAGAGCAAGGCGGUCGUGCCGUUCCCGAUGACCAUGUAGGAGGAUGCCCAGAACAGCGCAUGCUCCACAUGCGAGAACUGGAGGUCAAGUCCUUGCCAUGCACGCUCGGGAUCAGUUCUUGAGAACCAUAACCAGCAAAGCCGCAGUGCGAGUCCGGCGCGUCUUUGUCUUGCGCUCCAAGUACUCAGGGCCCUUCCUUCUAAAGGGCCCACGGCCUGGGAUGAUGUCCCAAGGCAUGUAUCAACCUUGAGGGGCCUUGGGCCGGCUUCCAGUGGCACGAGGCACCCCUGGGCCAUGACACCGUCAAUGCCCUCAGAAGUAACUAGAUGACACCCCGCACGUUGCUGCGGAAAUUUUUUAGCACGCACCGGUAGAAGUUAAAUUCCAUAAACUCAUAUAGUUUAAGCGUUCAAUGGUAGUAUGGUAGAGGCUAGGGUUCUACCAGGUCUCGGACGUAGGUUGUAGGGGUGGAAGUGCGGGCUGCGAGGUUGGGGACGCCGGCGCCGGCGGUUGGGCGUCGUCGCGGCAUGAGAGAGAGAGAGAGGCGGCUAGGGUUUGGGGCUCUCGUCUCCUGAGGGAGACGACAACAGAAUAUACUGUUUAUUGUCUGCUUAAUAUCGAAGGGGUACAUGUGUUUAUAUAGGACGACAGCCUCCACUAAACCCUACAUAACUUGGACUCUAACUUGGACUCUAAUAUAACUUGGACUCUAAGAUAGGUAAGAUAACUUGGGCUAAGCCCGUAAUUAACCCUGCCCAUUGGGCCUCCUCCGUUGGUACGUUGUACCGGUCAUAACAUCUCUCCCCGCCUUCUCAAACAGCUCGUCCUCGAGCUGAACAUCUGGAAACUGCUGGCGGAAAUCGUCGAGCUUCUCCCAAGUCGCUUCCUCCUCUGGCAGACCGGUCCACUGUACCAAGACAUGCCAGACGCCGCGACGCUGCUGCGCCUGCAGCACCUUCGCCACCUGUGCGGAAGCUGGAAGGAGGCGGCCAUCCGAAGUAGGAGGAAGGGCCGGCGUCGCUGCAGGAGGGUCCCCGCGGUAGGCCUUCAGUAAGCCGACAUGGAAGACGUCGUGGAGGCGAGAACCAGCUCGCAGCUCCAAGCGGUAUGCGAGUGUGCCGACACGCUCCAGCACACGAAAGGGACCGGCGUAGCGAGGUCCCAAUUUGCGCUUGGAGCGCGGGUCCAGAGACUGCGUGGUCCUGUGGAGGAGGCGCAGCCACACCCAACGGCCCACCGCGAACUCCGCCUCGCGAUGAUGAGCAUCGUAGUACUUCCGAGCUAGCUGCUGUGCUUGGAGAAGACGCUGGCGUGCCUCAGCCAGAAUGUCGUCGCGGGUGCGGAGUAAGUCGCCCGCCGUCUCGGACCGAGCCGUCCCAGGCUCGUAAGGGAGCAUCGCCGGAGGUGGGCGCCCGUAGACCACCUCGAAAGGCGUGGUGUGCAGGGCGGAGUGAUAGGAGGUGUUGUAGCAAUACUCCGCCCACGCCAACCAGUCCACCCAAGCUCGUGGACGAUCACUAGUAACACAGCGCAGGUACAUGGUGAUCACCUUGUUGACCACCUCGGAUUGGCCGUCUGUCUGAGGGUGGAACGCCGUGCUCAUGCGGAGCUUCACGCCCGCCAGUCGAAAGAGAUCCCGCCAGACAUGUCCCGUGAACACGGGAUCACGAUCGCUGACGAUGGAGAAUGGAAAACCGUGGAGGCGGACGAUGCCGUCGAAGAAGGCCCGCGCCACGGAGGCGGCUGUAUAUGGAUGACCCAGGGCGAUGAAGUGCACGUACUUGGAGAAGCGGUCAACCACCGUGAGGAUGACGGACUUGCCGCCCACCUUGGGAAGGCCCUCGAUGAAGUCCAUGGAAAUAUCCGCCCACACCUGGGAGGGUACGUCCAGCGGCUGCAGUACAUCCGCGGGUCGUAGUGUCUCCGUCUUGUUCCGCUGGCACGUCACGCACGACCGCACCCAGUCGCGGACCAUCGCGCCAUCACCGGGGAUGUAAAAAUCAGCACGGAGACGAUGGAGAGUCUUCUGCACGCCCUCAUGCCCUGCAGAGUGCGCCAAGGUCAGGACCUGGUGGCGCAGGUCGCCAUGGUCGGGCACGAAGAUGCGGCGGCCAUGUAGGAGCAGCCCCUCGUCCAAGCGCCAGGGCGCGUCCAGCUCGCCGGCGUCAAGGCGCUGGCGCAGGCCCUGGGCGUCCACGGCCGUCGAAGUUGCCCGGCGAAUGUCGUCGAUGAAGGCGAAAGAUGGCCCGGAGCGAAUGCACGUGAUAGUGCCAGCCAUGGCGACGUCGUCCGCGACAUCCUCAGUGUCGCGGCGGGAUAAGUAGCAAGAGCACGCCACCGGCGGCUUAGGGUUUUACCCAUACAUAUUUUACAUGCCCAAAUGGACUGGAAAGAGAGGCUUAUAUAAGCCAAUACACAUAAAGUAGCUAAAGUAACAAAGCAGCUGGUAGUGCUUGUCGGGAAGUAAACAACGACGCGGGAUAGAUGCGGAGCCGUCGGAUGCUGGAUCAACGGUCGUCGACUCCCUCUUCAGCGAAUCGGUAUCUGCCUCCCUAAGCCGUUGGAUGGACGAUCUACCCUCCAGGAUACUUCCAGCACGCUGGAACAGGGGAGCCUCUCGUUCCUAACAAUUCCCCCUGUUAAGCGGCAGCUUGCCCUCAAGCUGCAAAAGAAGGAAAAACCUUUUGUAUAAAAGCUGAAUCUUCCCAGGUGGCUUCUUCCACCGGCAUAUUCACCCAUUUGAUCAACCAUCUCACCACAGGAACACUGAUGUCCCCCGAACUCUGGGAAUUAGUUUCCUCUUCAAUAUGGCCUCAGGUUCCAUCUUGUUCAACCCAUCUGGACCCACUAAAGGAAGGUUUUUGGAAGGCACUACUGAUGGCCCAAUGUGCUUCUUCAACUGACUCACAUGAAAUGUAUGGUGUAACUUGCAAUCCUCAGGCAGUAGUAACUUGUAAGCAUGAAGACCAAUUCUCUGAAGAACUCUGAAGGGCCCAUAGAAUCUGGAGUGCAACUUCAAGUGCCUGUGGAGACUGAGAGAGGUGUGUCUGUAAGGUUGCAGUUUCAAGUAAACCAUAUCUCCCACCAAAAAUUCUCUUUCCUUUCUCUUCUUGUCAGCAAACCAUUUCAUCCUUGCCUGGGCCUUGAUAAGGUUUUGCUUUAUCACUUCCAAAGCUAACUCUCUGUUUUGGAGUAAAUUGUCAGAAUCCACAGAAAUAGUAUCAGGCAAUGCAGACUCAGCUACCUGGGAGGAGGAAAACCAUAAAGAGCCUGAAAAGGUGUCAUCUGCUAUGAAGUGUGGAAGCUAGUGUUGUACCACCACUCAGCUAAAACCAACCAUCCAUGCCACUUCUUUGGCUGCUGAAAGCACAUACAUCUCAGGUAAUUCUCCAGGCAUUGGUUCACCCUCUCAGUUUGCCCAUCAGAUUGGGAAUGAUAACUAGUACUGAUGUGCAGCUUAAUCUUCAAGGAUUUAAACAGUUGCUGCCAUAAGUUGCUAGUAAAGAUUUUGUCUCUAUCAGUGACAAUUACUACUGACAUACCAUGCAACUUGAAAAUUGUUUCAGAGAAAGCCCUUGCCACAGAUUCCACUGUGAUAGGAUGUUUCAUGGCAAUGAAGUGAGCAUACUUUGUAAAUCUGUCCACAACUACCAAAAUCAAAUCCUUGUUCUCAGACAGAGGUAGACCUUCCACAAAAUCAAUACUAACAUGAGCCCAAGCAAAGUCAGGGACAGGAAGUGGUUCCAACAGGCCUGGAUAAGGGCAAUGUUCAGCCUUAUUUAUUUGACAGACUGGGCAAGCCUUGACAAAUGCAAUAACAUCCUGUUUCAAUCCUGGCCAAUGAAACACCAACUUUACCCUUUGAUAAGUAGCUCUUUCCCCAGAAUGACCACCUAACUCAGAGCUAUGGAAAGUUUUCAGUAGGACUUGUCUUAGAGCAGUUGCAUUCCCCACUACCACCUUGUUCUUGAACCUGAGGAUACCAUUCCUAUAGGAGUAGGAAGUAGUGUUAUCCUUGUUCACAGUGCACUGAGCAAUCAACUCUUUAAUCUUUCCAUCUUGGCUAUAACUUUUAACCACUUCUACUACCCAGGUGGGAGUAGUACUGCUAGCAAUAAGCAUGGAAGCUAAAUGCUUCACGCUGGACAGUGCAUCUGCUGCUUUGUUCUCCUUGCCCUUCUUGUAUUGAAUAGUGAAAUUGUAUCCCAGCAACUUGAGUAGCAACUUGUGCUGAAUUCCCUCAGUGAGUUUCUGCUCUUGUAUAUAUUUCAGGCUCUCUUGAUCUGUUCUGAUAAUUAGAGCAGUGGCUAGGAAAUAAUGCUUCCAUUUUUUUACAGCUUCAAUGAUUGGCAUAGCUUCUUGAUCAUAGGUGGACAAGGCAGCAGCUCUAGGCCCAAUUGUUUUACUGAAAUAAGAAAUGGGUCUUCCUUGCAUCAAUACAGCUCCCAAACCAUAUCCACAGGCAUCAGCCUCUAAUAUAAAUGGUUUGGAGAAAUCGGGUAAGGCCAGGACUGGAGAGUGAGUGAGCCUGUCCUUUACUUCAGCAAAUGCCUUGUCCUGAUCCUUAUCCCAAUGGAAAGCAUCUUUCUUUAAGCAAUCAAACAGGGAUCUGCAUAUCAAGCCAUAACCCUGAAUGAAUCUUCUGUAAUAGCCACUCAGACCCAAGAAACUCCUCAACUCAGUGAUGUUGGUAGGAGCUGGCCAGUCCUGGAUUGCCUUGAUCUUAGAUGGGUCAGUAGCCACUCCCUCUUGAUUAAUAAUGUGGCCCAAAUAUUGAACUUCAGUUUGACCAAAAGAACAUCUUUCCAAUCUUGCAUAUAACUUGUUCUCUUGCAGUAUAUCAAACACUUGAGUCAAGUGUUGUUUAUGUUCUUCCAGAGAGGUGCUGAAAAUCAGGAGAUCAUCAAAGAAUAUCACUACAAAUUUCAGCAUGCCAAAGAGAAAAUUCAUUAGGGCUUGAAAGCUAGGAGGGCCAUUGGUAAGACCAAAAGACAUGACUAGGUACUCAAACAAGCCCAUAUGAGUAACAAAAGUUGUUUUGUAGAUAUCUUCUUCUGCCAUUCUGUCAUUUUGAUCUGGUGGUAACCAUUUCUAAGAUCAAUUUUGGAGAAAAACUUAGCUCCUUUUAGGUGGUCCAAUAAAUCUUCUAUGACCGGAAUUGGGUACUUGUUCUUGAGGGUAAUAGAGUUCAGCUUCCUGUAAUCAGUGCACAAUCUCCAAGAUCCAUCUUUCUUUUUGACUAGCAAAACAGGAGAGGAAAAAGGGUUGGUACUGGGCCUAAUCACUCCAGACUUUAACAACUCUUUGAUGAUCUUCUCCAAUAUUUCCUUCUGGUGAUGGGGCAUUCUCUAAGGUCUCUGAUUCACUAUUGUUGCUCCCUCCACUAAUGGAAUUCUGUGAUCACAUGGUCUGCUGGGAGGUAACUCAAUUGGUUCCUGAAACAGCAUUCAUACUUUUGCAGCAGAGAUUGUAAUUCUGCAGGUAAUUCCUUAGUUGUGCCCCCCAUCUCAAUAGCACAUGCAGUAAACAAGACAAACCCACACACUGCCUGUUCCAUCAGUUUAUCAGUACAGUCUGUAGCUUCCUCAGGCUCUGCCUUUGGCAUUGUUUCAUCAGUAAAUGUGACUAACUGGCCAUUCAAAGCAGACACUUUCAUUUCCACUUUAAUGAAAUCCAUGUGUAUUGGGUUGUACUUCUUUAACCACUCAACUCCCAAUAUUAUGGCAUAACCCUUCAAUUGCAGAAUUCUGAAACUGUCGGUAAAAUGUUGACCUUGUAUUUCAUAGGGGCAAUCAUGUACCAUGAACUCACUCCAUAGGAUCUCUCCACUGGCUACAGCCACUCUAACCUUAGGGGUGGACUUAGGUUUUACUUGUAAUUUGGCUGCCAUCUCUGGUGAAACAAAAGUGGAGGUACUGCCACUAUCCACUAAUGCUGUUGCAGAAGUGUUGCCCACCUGGACUGUCAGAAUAGAAGUAUUUUUGAUUGCUCCUAUUCCCAUAGUUGCCGCAUGCAUAGACACUUGAAGAAUUGCAUCAGUUGGAAGUUGGUCCAGGUUCUCCAAGUCUGGAUCAGCAAAAUCAGUAACAUAGAUGGUCUCAGGUACUUCCUCUUCUUGUGCUUGCAGAGCUUGAAUUUGUGCUCUUUGACUCAUCUUACACACUUGUCUGUGCCCUGGGACCCAAGGUUCCCUACACUUGUAGCAAACCUGGUUCUGUUUUGCUUGUUGUAUCACUACAUUUCUGUUCUGAACUGCAGGAAUCCCUUCUAUCUUUGGUUGUUCAAAAGUCACUUGCCUCUUUAGUUGUGGAACAUAAGCUUUAGUCUGCACCACAUGCACUGGUGGUUGGGCUUUUUCCAUUCUUCUAGCAUACCAUAUGGCAGUUUGCAUACCCUUAGGCUUGAAACAUUCCACAUGGCUCUUGAUGUAAGUGUUAAGGCCAGACACAAAGCUAGUCACAUAGUAGUUAUCAGGAAUACCAGGGUUUUCUCUUCUCAUGAUAUUCAUUAACUGCUCAAACUGUUCCACAUAAGCUGCCAAGGUAGAAGUUUGAUGAAUUGCAUGGAAGGAACUUACUACAUCACAGGCUGAGUCAAUAGCAAAUCUUUCAGAUAAAUAAGAACAAAAUUUAUGCCAAGGCACAUUGCUAGGUGCAUAUCCAGUUCCUCUCCACCAUUGAACAAUAGGCCCUUUUAAAUAAGAUAUUGCUAGCUCAGUUCUAUGCUCAAUUGGUGUUCUGGCAGCAGCAAAAUACUGGUCCAAAUUCUGAAUCCAGGCCUCAGGAUCCUGUCCUUCAAAUUCAGAAAUGUUCAGUUUUGCAAGUUUCACUGUGAGAAGAGGCCUUCUAUUGUCUAAAGGAGAAUACUGCCUUUGCUUUUGCCCAUCUGGCCAUUCUUCCAUUGUGCCCAUAUCAACUGGAGGUAACUGCAGUUGUUGUUGUUGCCCUGUUGCUUGAUUACCCUCGUGCUUGUUGUUGCUGAAGUUAGGAUGCAUGUAUGGUACCUUGUUAGUACCAUCCAAAUUCAGCUCUUUUCCUGUGUAAUCUCAACACUGCAGACCCUACUACCACUAGUGCUUCUUUUUCCUGUCCAUGCACUGAUGGUGGUGUGUAGUUGUUCAAUUGCUUCGGCCUACCAGCAGGUACAACAUGUGAGUGCACCUCAUUAAUUUUCACCUGGGCACUACCUUGCUCAGAGCGCUCAAUCUAUCCCUCUUCAGAGUCAGGAUCCAGCAACAACUUUCUGAAGUUCUCUUGGAUCUUGUCAAAAUUGCUCUGCAUUGUUACGGAAUUUUUAUUCACCAUGGCGCGGAAUUCCUGAAAUUCCUUCCGAUCUUCAUCCCUGUUGCUUUGCAGUGUUUUAAUAUCCAACUCCAACGAUGCCAGUUGCAGAUCGGCUGUCACUAUCAAGGUUGCUUGCCCUAUCAUGGUGAUGGCCUAAAACAGGGCUGGGUGGUGGGAUUUGACUCGAGUACCUUGGAUCUUCGAUCUACCGCCGCCAACGCCCGCCUCCAGGAUGCACAAUCUCAGCACAGUAGAUGGGGUUUUACAACAGGGAAGUUUCCCUGUCAACCAGAGCUGCUCUAAAAUUGCACCCGAACAACGCCACUCCGGCCGCCGCCCGCGUACACCGCCGCCCGAUCUAGAUCUCGCAGAGAGGAAUAUCACUGCUCGCUCCUCCUCUACGCGCCACCUCCAGCCGAGGAUCGACUGGCCUCUGAUACCAAUUGUCAGGAUCUAACUGACUGACUGAAGAAGAAAAGCUAUUUUGAACUAAUUUGAGAGACCGAAAUCAGCUAAGAGGCAAAUUGUAUUGCUCUCAAAUUGGGGAAAGUAGCAAGAGCACGCCACCGGCGGCUUAGGGUUUUACCCAUACAUAUUUUACAUGCCCAAAUGGACUGGAAAGAGAGGCUUAUAUAAGCCAAUACACAUAAAGUAGCUAAAGUAAUAAAGCAGCUGGUAGUGCUUCUCGGAAAGUAAACAGCGAUGCGGGAUCGAUGCGGAGCCGUCGAAUGCUGGAUCAACGGUUGUCGACUCCCUCUUCAGCGAAUCGGUAUCUGCCUCCCUCAGCCGUUGGAUGGACGAUCUACCCUCCAGGAUACUUCUGGCACGCUGGAACAGGGGAGCCUCUCGUUCCUGACAGGCUGUCGGUCUCAAGGUUCCUCCCCGUGUUCGGUCCUAAGCCUCGGUUGUCCCUGCUCGACCACUUCACCCCGGACGCCGCUGGCAUCUUCGACAACCGCACCGUUCCGCUUGUGUCGUAGCGCACAAUCAGAGUGGAAUAUGAAGGAGGUUCGGUGGAGAAGAGGAGGGGCUAUGCUGGAGGAUUAGUGUGUUCCGUGGUUGAGAUUAGAAACACUCGGAAAGAAAUCUUAAGAGGAAGGAAAGAAAUAAUGGUAUCCUUGUGAUGCUCUUCAGUUACCAAAUAAUUAGAAGAAAGAAAAAAGAAACUGAAGAGGGAGGGGAAGAGAUCAAGUGAGAGGAAGGGGAAGAGUUAGAGGUGUGUCACCCACUCACGUUGUUGAAAGUCUCAAACUAAACGGAUCAGGAACCAUUCCAGUAAACCGAAUGAUUUAAGAAGUUGCUGACAUGGCCCAUUCAGUGAAUGCAUGACGUGGGCAAAGUAUGGCUGAUGUGUCUCACUGCUGAUGUGGACAUGAUGCAUGUUAAGAGAAAUGAGAUAGUGGGGAUGCACUAUUUAGGUAUUAUAGAUUCACACUCAUGGGUCUUGGACUUUGACUCAGGACAAGCCGCACUGACAUAAGAUACUUGACUACUUUGGUAAACAUGCAAUGACAUUGAUUUGCAAACAAAUCUUACAACUUAAUGUCAUUUAUCAAAAUAAAUCAAUUUCUAGUCCAUGGCUUGUUAUGUUCCCUUUUCUUCUAUUUCCUUUUCAUGAAAAGGUCACUGCACAUAAGUACCAGUUGCAUAACUUGAUAAGCUUUUACUGUCUCCAUCCUCUCUACUUGUUUCCGAGUUCACACACAAAGACAGUCUACAUUCUCCAAUACACAACUUUGUCCACUAGUUUUUCUAAUUAUAUAUUAGCAAAAUUAUAAACAUAUAAUUAUGUAAAUGUAAUUUCUAACAAAUAUGAUGAUGGCAUUCAAGGUGAGAAGACUUAUUAGUGACCAAAGUUUGAAACGUGCACCCGACAUUCAAAGUCGUAAUUAUUUGAAAAAUGAGGGAGCAAGGUUUAACAUAAAUUAAAUGAAUCAACAGGAAUUAAGUUAUUGGGUUCGUAUACCUCAUCAAUAGUGCAAUUCCCUGAUGUUUGCAUAUGCAUACCAUUAUUUGAAGGUUGCUGACCAGUCUUACAUGAUACAAGCCCCUCCUCUUUCCCUUCUGAGCAAAAAAGACUAGCCCCAUCAAUUUUCUUGUAAGGGGGCCAUGGGUCCCUAUUAAAAAGUUGCCGUGCUGCUCUUUUCUCUUCAACGAAGUGCAACACUUGCUUUGACAUUUCCGUUGGAAUUUUCGGGCAGCUGCUGUCAGUAAGAUGAGCCUUCAAUGUAGUUACCCCACCACUUCGACAUAAAUCACACCACUUGCACUGCCACCGUUUUUUAUUUCCAUCAAGAUCCACCGCAUGCUCCCAUCCAAUAUCCCUUACCCCUCGUAGCAACAAGGGAGGCUGCAAAACAAUGUAAAACAUGGAUCAGUACAAGUUUAUUGGUAGUGCUCAGCAGAUGCACAAAAAAAAUUAUGAGAUGUAAAUCACAAAUAAUCAGGACAAGGAUUUUGUGCUCAUGGCUGGGUUUGUACUUAUUUUGGUUUGUGCAUUUCAAAUGAGCUUGGGAAUAUCAUAGAUGUAAAGAGAUGCUAUGGUAUGUGCACAAGCAAAACAAUGUACAAACAUAUGAGUAUGACAGUAUGGUUCUAAAAGGAUGAAAGAGGAAGAAUGUUCUUGCCGAUCAUAUUCCACAAAUUUGUCUGUUUUGACAGUGCAUGGGUGAUUUUUUAUUUCAAACCACUCUCAGCAGUGAGCACUAGUCUUCAAAGAUACGAAAUCCACAAAUUUCACAAUCUCACAGUGAUAUUUUGGCAUUUUUGUUUUUACGGAUGGCUUUAUUGUGUCUUAUUAAGUUUAAUUGCCUUUGGUUAAUUCUAGAUUUUCUGAGGUACCACUGCGGGUUUGAGUUGAAAUCGGUUAGGUGUUGUAACAUACCCAUUCCAAGUCCACAGGUGCAUGAACCUAAAGUAAGCAACCAAGCGAAUCAAAUAUCCAAUAAUGUGAUUCUUUAUAACUCCAGAUGAAACAAUUGUUCAUCAUGAACAGAAUCAUUCUAUUACCCCUUUAUGCUAAAUUAGCUAAACAAACAGUAGAUGUCGCUCUGAACAGAAAAUAAAUUAAGGGGAAAGUACACUUGUCCCUUUGUAUACCCUAAAAAUGGUAGGCUCCUGAUGAUCCGCAUUCGUCAGGUUAGUGCCUUCUUCAAGAAUGUAAGUGUCUAUUCGAGUUGGCACCUCUAAAUCAACAGAUACAGGAUCCUUCUCAGUCUUGGUAUCAUCAGCAAAGCUCCUGGUCACACUGUUGACACCAUUCUGAGCAGCUCGCUGCUUUCGUCUCUUUCUUUUCUUCUGCAAAUGUUCCCUAAUAUUUUCAGAAACUUCUGCUGGAACCUUUGGGCACAUUUUGACAUCCAAAUCACCAGCAAGAUGCCGUUUGAGUCUAGACACACCACCACCAUACCUAGUCAGGUGACAAUACAUACACUUCCAGUGUUGUCUGUUUUCAUCAAUCAUUAUCCCGUGCUUCCAUCCAAUAUCCCUACUUUUCCAGAAAGUGUCAGUAACCUGCAAAAAAAUAAGAUCAACUCUGCAUUAUAUAUGCAAAUAUAAGUAGCUCAUUCAAGUCAUAAUAAAUGAAGGCCCUGAAAUAGAGUUUAAUAGGUCAGCAAGAAUGUCACUUACUGAAGAAAAAGAUAUAAACAAAAUUAAAAGCUGGCAAAGUAAAAGGGUUUUAAUCUAUGCGACACCAACACGGAUAUGUGACAAAUUGGAUAUGGGGGGUACUUACAUUUUUAUAAAUUCUAGCAUGUGGUGGUGGCUUGACGCUGGUGAUUUGUAUUUAAUUUAAUAUUAACUCUCCCGAUACUUGGUGGACAUGUAUCUAGCAUGUAUCCAUGUAACAUAGGGUUCCGACAAGAUAUGCCAUGCAUGUCCUGUUAUUUCAUUUUCACAGGUUUUAAUACUAACUGGAGAAAGGAAAAGUUCCUCUAUGUUACUCUGUUUGACCAACAAAACAGAUUGGCAAAGAUACUACUCAAUGUUUUUUUUCCGAGAAAUAACCACUCAAGCUUUUGACACGGCAAAAUCAAAUGUGGCACUCUUUUACCAUUAGCAAAGUAUUUCAAGAUUGCAAAAGGCAAAAGCUGAAUGUUGCCCCCAGCAAAUUGCUUGGCGAGCAUAAGAUAAUCUGUAACCAGAAAUUUGCAGCCAUGGAGAACAAAAGCAUACAAUAGACCACUGAAAAACAAGCUCUUAUACUUACUCAUCAAUUCUUCACCCAUUUGAUUACCGAAGUCAGGUGGUAAUCCUGGAAAAUUCAAAAGGCUUUGGCGAUAUGCACCCUAUUACUGAUGCCCUCCCGCAGUCAUGCAACUACCAAGUUGAUGUCACUAAUUCGUUCUAACAAGCCAAAAUAAAAUAUUUGGCUAGCGUAAACCCCUAUGUGUGCCACAUUGCAACUGAAGUCUCUUUCUAACUCAGCACCAUGUAAUACACAGAUUUCAGUUGAAGAUUACACCUGCUGCUCCCGCACAUCCACGGGAUUGGGCUCUGGCUCAGGCUCAGGCUCUGGCUCUGGCUCUGGCUCUGGCUGACGGCGUCUCUUGUAUGUGCGCAGAGCCUCCAGGGACGACCAAUCCCUCAAAUGCACCUUGUCAUUCCCUUUGUCCUNNNNNNNNNNNNNNNNNNNNNNNNNNNNNNNNNNNNNNNNNNNNNNNNNNNNNNNNNNNNNNNNNNNNNNNNNNNNNNNNNNNNNNNNNNNNNNNNNNNNNNNNNNNNNNNNNNNNNNNNNNNNNNNNNNNNNNNNNNNNNNNNNNNNNNNNNNNNNNNNNNNNNNNNNNNNNNNNNNNNNNNNNNNNNNNNNNNNNNNNNNNNNNNNNNNNNNNNNNNNNNNNNNNNNNNNNNNNNNNNNNGUCAUUCCCUUUGUCCUUGUUGGCAUCCAUCUUCCACCGCCAGGGUUUCGGUCAAGAAACCAAAUAUUCCUGCAUCCAUGUCAACGAACAUCCUCAGAACAGAAAAAAGAAGCUGCACUUGCAAUUAAUUCCCAAUCCAACAUACCGAACAGAAAUAUUCGAGCUCUUCCACACCCCCAAAAGAAGCAAACACCAGGAAAGUUCAAAUUUUGGGGAAAAUAACGCGGUCAAGGCCGCGGAAAAACAUGGCUGAAAGCCCCGGGGGGGGGGGGGGGNNNNNNNNNNNNNNNNNNNNNNNNNNNNNNNNNNNNNNNNNNNNNNNNNNNNNNNNNNNNNNNNNNNNNNNNNNNNNNNNNNNNNNNNNNNNNNNNNNNNNNNNNNNNNNNNNNNNNNNNNNNNNNNNNNNNNNNNNNNNNNNNNNNNNNNNNNNNNNNNNNNNNNNNNNNNNNNNNNNNNNNNNNNNNNNNNNNNNNNNNNNNNNNNNNNNNNNNNNNNNNNNNNNNGGGGGGGGGGGGGGGGGCGGAUUCAGGAGGAUUCGGAGGCAGAGGGGGGUGCGAAAAAGAAACUGCUGCUGCUACAAGCGAGGCGAAAAGAAGAGACGAGGAAGGCUGUGCCUGUAUUGUAAUGUUGGGUACAGACAGCCUCAGGAAGGAAGAGAAGAGACUGACAGAAAUCCGGCACCACUUGUUGGUGGGAGUGUUUACUGCUGCGGCGGCCUCCCCCUUCCCUUUCCUCACACCAUCUACAAUGGCAGCCCUAUAAUAAAACAUAAAAAAAUGUUUGAAAUAUAAUUUACAACAUCAAAAAUUUGUUUUUCAGCCAUCAAAAAAAUAUAUCUUCAAUAGUAACCCUAUAAUAAAGCACCACUACUCUAACAACAGCUGCAUGAUAUUUUUCUUCUACACAUUUUUGCAUCCAAAAGUGAUACUCGGCAAGGAUCUUGAAACCAACGCGGAGAAGGAGAACGAGGCUCCGAAAAUGAAGAAUCUCAGUCGACACCCUCAUGCGCGCACGAGAACCGGCCAAGGAUGCGCGGCCACGGAGGCUCGACUCCUAUCUCUCUCCCUCUAUUGCAGAUGGUUCUGGCAGUCNNNNNNNNNNNNNNNNNNNNNNNNNNNNNNNNNNNNNNNNNNNNNNNNNNNNNNNNNNNNNNNNNNNNNNNNNNNNNNNNNNNNNNNNNNNNNNNNNNNNNNNNNNNNNNNNNNNNNNNNNNNNNNNNNNNNNNNNNNNNNNNNNNNNNNNNNNNNNNNNNNNNNNNNNNNNNNNNNNNNNNNNNNNNNNNNNNNNNNNNNNNNNNNNNNNNNNNNNNNNNNNNNNNNNNNNNNNNNNNNNNNNNNNNNNNNNNNNNNNNNNNNNNNNNNNNNNNNNNNNNNNNNNNCAGCUCCUCCCUGCACCCCCAUGCGCCACGGUGAGUCACCGGCACACCCGAAUCGGCUCACCGUCGCGGGCCUAUUUAUAGCCCUCCCCCUCGCUCCUGCACCCCUCAGAUAGCUUCACCACGACCACUAGCACCUCCUUAGCCACCCCAGCAAGCCAGCACAGCCCCGGUGCUCGAGAUCGACCGAGGCCCCUCCGCCUCGGAGCUCCGGUCGAUCUCCGGCAACACGACAGCUCCUGUGUCCCAUGACCCACCAAACUGAUCCCCUCAACCCCAGGAAGCUUUCCCCCAACUUCCCCGAGCAUUUCCGUGCCCCUAGCUGCCUCCUCGACCACCUCCCGAAACUCCUCCGCCGCGGCCUCCUCGUUGCCGGCGAACCCUUGCCUCUCCGUCGUUGUUCCGACCACCAGCAGGUAGGCGGCGUCAUGCUGAGCCCAUUUCUGUCCUCGUUGGGGCUUGAGGACGUCGGCAGCAUCGCCGGCGUGCUCCUCCUCCUCUCUCGCCAGAGGUAGGAGACGACCCCGACAGUUGUGCCCUACCCGUCGGUGGCCCAGCCUCCUCCCCCGCGCUGCCCGCAGCCGCUGACCGCAGGGCCCCGCACGUCAGGUUCAAACCUGACUGCCCGCGCGCCUCAGCAGGCUGUCGGCUGGCCUUGGGCCGGCCCAGUUCCAGGCCGAGCCAGGCCAGGGACUUAGCCCAUUUUUCUUUUAGUUUUGAAAUCUGAUUUCUAAGAUUUUUAUAAAAACAUUUAGUUAUUCUUCAAAAAAUAUGUAGUAUUUAAUAAGACCAUGAGAUGAAUUUUCAAACAACUAUUCUGUUUUGUAAUAAUAAAAAGGACUAAAUUGGAAUAGUUUUGCUUCUGUUUGGUUGAUUUAAAAAGAUGUUCCUUCAUUGGAAACACGGGCAAAUAUUUUUCAAAAUAACAACUUAGAUUUAUCAGCAACAAAGAACAUUUUUAAAAAUAACUUUGUGAUCUGUUUUUGAGUGAGCUAUUUCUUAUUUAUUCUUUUGACGACGAUAGAAAAUCCGUGUGACGAGGGAAUCGGAGCGGAAGACCUCAAAGACCCCGGAUACCUAGCUGACCAAGGCAAGCAGCCUUUGACCAUGAGUGAGCAUAUGUUAUAAUUGCAUGUUAAAAUAGCAAGUAUUUUCGUGCAUAUGAUCAUAAGUGCCGGUAAAUCAUUUGAUGUGAUGUUACAGAUGGCUCCUCCGGAGCACAUGCAUUAAGCUUGAUCCUACCCCUUUCGAGGAUCAUGCUAAAAUCAUGUUGACAAGUAAUAUUGGAAUAGUAUUAGCAUGAGCAUGUUGAUGACAUAAAUCAAGUUUAUGAAAACCCCAUCGGGUGCCACUAAUGCCCGAGGGUGAUGAUGAGUUAGGUGGCCACUUUUGGUGAAGUGGUGCACCUAGUAUUUUGAGUGAGUAUGGUUUCGAAAAUGGGAUUAGAUUUAUGAUGUGUCGACUGUCCCAACCUUACCAGUACGACCACGUUAGCCCUUAUGGGAUGGGGCUAUGUUGAUUACUCUGGUCGGUGCUAGUAAAGAGCCACAUUACUAGUGGCGGGAGUGAUGUGUGGUCACUCUCGUGAUGGGGUCGUACCAGGUAGGAUGACUAUGUCAUUUUUAUGAGUUCCAAGCACACCAUUGGUCCCCGCAUGGUUGACACUGUCCAGAGUCGGUGCUCGUAAGACAUACAACAUGUGGGUUGGGUACCAAUCGAGUGGACUUCUUUGUCUAGUAUCGUCGGGGAAAAGGCAUUGAUCGGGUACUUACCUCGGGUAUGCUAUAUACCGCGAGUCCCGGAUGACACGGAAGUUUCCCGGAUCUCGUGGGUACAGCGUACUACCUCUGCAGAGUGUAAAACUAUUCGAAUAGCCGUGUCCACGGUCAAGGACAAUUGGAUAAUCCUGCUUAAACUACGUCCAGUCGUUUCCGCAUAAACCAAGUGUGUGUGAGUGGUGAUAAAAAGGUGUUGUUAUGGAAGUAAUGAUAUGACCAAGUUUGGUGACUUGGCAUAUAGGGUGAGCCCGUAUGGUUCAGCCCUUGACAGAUAUAUAUUGAUAUAUGUAAGAUGUUCUUCUAAAGUAAUUCUUUAACUUGAUGCAUAUUCAUCAUCAUUCCACCAAGAUGAAUUACACCAAAGAUGCAUGUUAUUGUUAUCAGUCACUUUCAAUGUUCAUAUCAUGGGCUGUUUGCGAGUACAUUCAAAGUACUCAUUGGCUUGUCACUGGUUAUAUUAUUGACCAGACAUGGAAGGACUGGAGUUUGGAGAUGAGUACGUCUUCGGAGACGCCCCUGCGAACUAGGACGCUUCCGAGUCAGAAUGCGUGUCGGUGUAGGAUUGAUGGCAUGGGCACCCGCUUAGCCCCUAUGAUUUCCGCUAUUAGUUUUACUAGUAUGAUUUGGCCUUAGGGCCAACCUUGUGAACUUGACCAUUCGGUCAUGUGAUGUAAUAAUUUGGUACUCAGAUGUAAGACUCUUAUUAUUUCAGUAUAUGUGUGUUCGGUGAGCAUUGAUCUCUGGGAUCACUGAGCACGAUCAUUCGGCGAUCUCGACUUGUAAGUCGGGGUCCCCACAGAGCUGGUAUCAGAGCCAUCCUGACCAUAGGAAGCCUAGGUAACAUGGACGAUAGGAAAGACGACUAGUGCACAUAGACCUUAACCUGAGAUUCUGCACCCACAAAAACUUUCUAACCCCUCUCCUCUACAUCUUGUAGAUGGCCGCCGUACCUAAGAUGCUUCUGGAGACGGGCUUUCCUCUACUUUUGAGCGAUAGCCUCGAGAAGUGCCAAGUACGUUGCACGCCCAUCUUCCUCUACCACGAGCACCGGGUCAACACCGACACUAAGGAAUAUCACAUGGACGUGAUAGUGAAGGCUAAUGACUCCCCGACUAGUUGGUUCUUUGAAGGGCCACAGAUGGAGGAUCUGAUGUUGGCAGUGGAGACCGCAGCACGACAGGCGCUUGUGCGACUCCGCGACAUCCUUCCUGAGAUGGCUGACGAGCCAGCUACUCGUCACCUACCCUUCGUUAAGGAUGAGGUAGACGGGAGUUGGACACUCAACCCAUCUUCCGAGGACGGGACGCCACUGAGGUUUCAAACCUACUUCAGUCUCUCCUUCGACACAUUAACGCACCUUUUGAUCAAAGAGUCAACAAGGAUUCGCCAAGAGCUGCACCAAGUCAAGGAUCUGCUUCACACGGAGAAGAUGAAGAACCGCAAGGUGAAAAAGGAAGGAGCACCUGAAGGACCACCUGGCUUCGCCUUCCGAGGAGGAAUACCACCGCUUCAGGCCACUCCUCUCCAGAGUCAUCGUCUGACCACGGAAGAGACAUCGAACUCUUCGCUACCUCGCCAACCAAGAGACGUCGUGAUGGUCCGCUUCCUUCUCCUACUCCUUCAAAGAAGGGAAGCACUGAUGAAGAUGAAGAUGAAGAUGAAGACGAAGAUCCCGCAGAACCCGCUUAUGAGAUCGCACAGUCUGCCGCUUAGCAUUAGUAGCGUAGGUAAUCAGGAGUACUCCCCAAGCGUAGGAGUUCAUGUAUCGGUUCAGUGAACCAUGAAUGUUGUGUAAGCAUGUUGGAUGCAAGUCGCAUUCUGCCUUAGGCAGCUUGUGAGAGACUACAUCACUUGUUUUAAAACUAAUGCAUUAGCUUUCCAAAAACCUUUGGCUUAAAAAAUUUCACACUAGCACAGCACGAGACCCCUCGUUACUAGAGCAUCAUCCCUUAUGAUUCAGCCAAUGCGGCAAAUUGACCUGUCUACUCCCUGAUAGGAUGGUGAAUGCAACUUGCAACAGCACCUUCGGCAACCCUGGCUCUGCCUCCUCAGGACAACAGCAGAGAGCCGGAGGGGAAGAUCAAGCUGGAGAUCACCACGAGCAGCAAGACGAUGUUCCACCGCCACCGCCUCCUCCCGAAAGCUUGACUAUGGCUUAGUUCCUUCAAGCUCUUCGAGAGGAACGUCAAGCCAACAAUGCUGCUAUUCAGGAGCUGGCUCAAAUCUUGGUGAACAACCCGCCGCAGAACGGGAAUGGCAAUGGUCGCUCUACUCUCUCUAAGUUCAUGCAAACUACGCCACCCAUAUUCACGGAGAUGACCGAACCAUUGGAUGCCGAUGACUGGAUCCGUACUAUCGAAGACCUCCUCGUGCUGGUCAAAUGCACUGAUGAUCAUGAGAAGGUCCUCUAUGCUUCUCACUGUCUCGAUGGCACAGCCAGAGCUUGGUAGGAUGGAUUUCAGAUCAUGCGAGCAGGCCAAGUCAUCACUUGGGCUGUGUUCAAAGAUGGAUUCCGCGAUGCUCACAUUCCUCCUGGAAUGAUGACCAUUAAGAAGCGGGAAUUCCGAGCCUUAAGGCAAGGCAGUGGAUCCGUUAAGGCGUAUUUGCAGAAGUUCAACCUCCUGUCAAGAUACGCACCUGAAGAUGUCAACACUGAGGCUGCCAAAGUAGAACGCUUUAUGGAAGGACUACAACAGUCACUCCAGCAUCAGCUGGUUGUUUGUGAAUGUCGGAUCUUUAGCGAUCUGGUUAAUAAGGCCCUCAUGUUGGAAGACAAGCGUGGUGCUAUGGACGACACCCGUAAGUGCAAGCUAAUGGGUAGUGGAGGACCGAGUAACCCGAAGCCACGCCCAUGGCAGUCAGCUCCAGCAAGACCCAAUUAUCAGCAGCUCCAAUACAAGUAUCCAACAUUUCGCCAGAACUACCGUCCUCAGCAGCAAGUCAACACCAAGCCAGCAAUCAAUCCACCGAACAACAGUGGAUUCAAGACCAAUCUUCCCUCACAAGUUACCUAUUUUGGAUGUGGACAAACAAGGCACUAUUCCAGAAAGUGUCCCAAUAAGAAGCCCGACGCACCGCGCCCCAAUGCGCCAAAUCCAGGCCAAGGAGCACCAGGCAGGAAUCAGGCUCCCCGCAAUCAGCAGUAUCACAGCAAGGGGCAGAUUAGUCAUAUUUCCGCAUAAGAGGCACAGGAAGGCCCGGACUGCAUUCUGGGUACGUUCCUCGUCAACUGCACCCCAGCAACAGUAUUGUUUGAUUGUGGUGCUUCGCAUUCUUUUGUUACACAAAGAUUGCGGAAAAAUGUGGUUUGAAACCUACCCUGCCUCACGGGCAUAUGGAAAUUCAAACCCCGGGAGCAGUGUUGAGGACCAACCUAGGAUGUAGGAAGGUCGGAGUAGUUAUCAAUGGGACGAGCUUCUCAGCGGAUCUCAUUGUGCUUAAGUCGCAAGGCCUAGUAGUAAUUCUCGGCAUGGAUUGGUUGGCCAAGCAUCAAAGCAUCUUGGAAUGUGCCAACAGGGCCAUUACCAUGACAAGCGACCAUGGGUCAAAGUCAAGUAUGUCUCUGAGCCAAUACCCGCUCGAGUACCACGGAUUAACAACCUGUCAAAGGUAGAACUCGAUCGAGUGCCAAUAGUCUGUGAGUACUUGGAAGUCUUUCCUGAUGAGCUACCAGGAAUGCCUCCUGACCGAUACAUCGAGUUCAUCAUUGAGCUCAUGCCCGGAUCAAGGCCUAUAUACAAGAAGCCUUACAUGAUGGGAUCCUAAGAUCUAGCGGAGUUGAAGAAGCAGCUGGAUGAGCAACUCAGGAAAGGGUUUAUUCGUCCGAGUGCGUCACCUUGGGGAUCACAUGUUCUUUUCGUGUCCAAGAAGGAUGGAACCAUCAGACUCUGCGUCGAUUACCGUUCUCUCAAUGAGGUCACAAUCAAGAACAAGUAUCCACUCCCCAAGAUUGAAGACUUGUUUGAUCAGUUAAAUGGAGCUAAGGUAUUCUCCAAGAUCGACCUCCGAUCUGGAUAUUACCAAUUGAAGAUCCGACCCGAAGACAUACUCAAGACUGCGUUUGUGACCCGGUACGGUCUGUACGAAUGCACUGUCAUGUCUUUUGGAUUGACUAAUGCCCCAGCUUACUUCAUGUACCUCAUGAACAAGGUCUUCAUGGAAUACCUGGAUAAGUUUGUUGUCGUAUUCACUGAUGACAUAUUAAUCUUUUCCAAGUUCGAAGAAGAGCAUGAACAACACUUGAGGUUAGUGUUGGAAAAGCUUCGAGAGCACCAACUUUAUGCCAAGUUCAGCAAGUGCCAAUUUUGGCUGAACGAAGUUGGAUUCUUGGGUCAUACCAUGACAACAAGUGGUUUGGCAGUUGAUCCCUCCAAGAUUACUACGGUAACCAACUGGGAAUCGCCAAUUGAUGUGAAGGAAGUCAGGAGUUUUCUCGGACUUGCGGGAUAUUACCACAAGUUUGUAGAAGGAUUCUCCCGCAUCGCUCGACCUAUGACUCAGCUCUUGAAGGAAGGCAAGAAGUCCGAGUGGACGCCGGAGUGUGAAGCAAGCUUCCAAGAAUUGAAGAAGAGAUUAACUACCGCCCCGGUAUUGGCCACUCUAGAUAUCAGCAAGGAGUUUGUGAUAUAUUGUGAUGCCUGUAGGAUCGGGCUCGGUGGGGUUCUAAUGCAGGAUGGCAGAGUUGUGGUGUAUCUAUCAUGACAACUGCGCCCUCAUGAGGAGAACUAUGCCACCCAUGAUCUCGAAUUGGUAGCAGUAGUGCAUUCCCGGAAGACAUGGCGACAUUACCUUCUGGGGAAGCGAUGUGAAAUAUACACUGACCACAAAAGUUUGAAGUAUAUCUUCACCCAAAGGGAAUUAAAUAUGAGGCAACGAAGAUGGUUGGAGUUAAUCAAAGACUAUGACCUCAGCAUUCAAUAUCACCCCGGUAAGGCCAAUGUGGUGGCUGAUGCCUUAAGCCGGAAUACCAGCACCUUGAACGUCAUGCUCAAGGAAAGGCAACCUGCCUUGUACGAGGAAUUGGAAAACUUCGGUUUGGAGCUAGUAGAAUCAGGAUUCCUAGCCAACCUCGAAGUCAAACCGACGCUGGUUGAUGAUAUCAAGGAGGUCCAGAAGGAUCAUAAGAGCAUUGAAGGCAUCAAGAAGGAGAUCCAAGAAGGCAAGGCCCCAGGAUUCUCGGUGGAUGAACAAGGAGUAGUGUGGUUUGGGAAACUUUUAUGCGUACCCAACAAGGCUGAACUCAAGGGCUUGAUCCUACAGGAAGCACAUGAUACACCCUACUCUAUUCACCCCGGUGGUACCAAGAUGUAUCAAGAUCUCUGAGAAAGAUUCUGGUGGCAUGACAUGAAGAGGGAAAUAGCAUCUUAUGUUGCCAAGUGCGACGCAUGCCAGCGAGUCAAGGUUGAGCAUCAGCAACCUGCUAGAUUGCUACAACCUCUCCAGGUGCCAGAAUGGAAGUGGGACAAGAUAGGCAUGGAUUUCGUUACCGGCUUACCGAGGUCUAGUAGAGGCCAUGACUCUAUAUGUGUCAUUGUCGACCAUCUGACCAAGGUGGCCCAUUUCAUUCUAGUCAACACGACUUAUGAUGGGAACAAGUUGGCUAGUCUCUAUAUUGAGCGUAUUGUAAGCCUUCACGGAAUUCCCAAGGAGAUUGUAUCUGACAGAGGUACGCAGUUCACCUCAAGAUUUUGGAAGAAGUUCCAAGAAACCCUUGGAACCAAGCUCUCUUUCAACACCGCUUUCCACCCGCAAACGGGUGGACAAACGGAAAGAGUGAAUAAGAUACUAGAAGAUAUGCUCCGCACUUGUGUCUUGGCACAUGGUGCCAAAUGGGAAGACUGUAUGCCAUUCGCUGAGUUUUCAUACAACAACAGCUACCAGUCGAGUCUCCAAAUGGCCCCAUUUGAAGUGAUGUACGGACGGAAGUGCCGCACCCCGCUCAACUGGUCUGAAACCGGUGAAGGGCUGAUUUCCGGGCCGGAAGUUUUGCACAAGGCAGAAGAGAAGGUGCAACUUGUCCGAGAAAAUCUAAAGGCAGCCAAGUCGCGACAAAAGAGCUAUGCGGAUUCUCGCCGCAUGGAUGUGGAGUUCAUUCCCGGAGACCAGGUGUACCUCCAUGUCACACCUCUCAAGGGAACCAAGUGUUUCCAUGUUAAAGGGAAACUCGCUCCAAGGUUCAUUGGACCUUUUAAGAUGACGGCAAGGCGUGGAGAAGUUGCUUAUCAGUUGGAGCUACCCCCGGAAAUUUCGGGUGUGCACAACGUAUUCCACGUGUCACAACUCCGGAAGUGUCUUCAAGCGCCAAACCGUUCUAUUCUUUACAAGGACAUUGACCACCAGGCCAUUGACCUUCAGCCAGAUCUCACCUACCACGAGAAGCCGGUCCGCAUUCUGGAUGAAGCUGAGCAUUGCACCACAAGCCACACCAUCAAGUAUUUCAAGGUUCAGUGGAGAAACCACACCGAAGACGAAGAAACAUGGAAGCGUGAAGAAUAUCUCCGAUGUGAGUUUCCGGACCUUUUUAGCACCUAGCUUAGGAAUCUCGGGGACGAGAUUCUUGUAAGGGGGAUAGGUCUGUCACACCCUGUUUUUGCUACCACUUUCUUUGUAAUGCAAAAAUCUGAGCUUGUUAAAACUUCUUCAAAACUAAUGAUGUGAGUGCCAUUUUGUCAUUGAAUGACUUGUGUGAUGAUCAUGUGAUGAUAAAACCCCAUUUCACAAUAUUGAAUUAUUUUCAAAACCUUCUUCUUGUUUGUGAUCAUGGUAAAACCCUACUUUGAGUUGCAC
rnacentral:lncRNA from 1 species